rnacentral:lncRNA from 1 species
CACUCCAACCUUUCUCUUCCCUUCAUUCAAAUCUCAAAACGUUUCCCUUUCUCUGCCAUUUUACUUUCUCCCCUUAGCUUUUCUUCCCCUUCGUCUUCUUCGAUCACAACAAUGAGACAGAGAGAUCCAAAAGCAACACCAGAAGUCGACAAAUCCCAAUUGGUACACCACAUUUGCUCUCUUUCAACCCUCUCCAACAAUGGCUCCUGCCCUCACACUCACCACCUCUCCCUGCAUUCCCCCCAUUUCGUCGACUGGUAUCGCCUUCUUGCCGUACGUAAAAUCAUCACCAAAAUUCGAACCUUUUCAUCUUUUCUCAUCAACCCACUUCAUCAAAUUCAAUUGUUUUGUGUGUAUAUGCAUACAGGUGGAGGAAGAUGCAGAUAUAGACGUUGUUCGAAGGCGGUACCAUAGGCUCGGUACGAUUUGUUCUAUGUCAUCUUUCAUUUUGGUUUAUCUGUUUUGAUGUCUCUCUGGAUGGUUUUGGUUUCAUGAAUCAUGAGAGUCCCUUUUUAAAAAUCUGCAGCUUUACAGCUUCAUCCUGACAAGAACAGCCAUCCUAGAGCUGAUACAGCAUUCAAGCUUGUCCUUCAGGUUUUAAAUUUCGUUCCUUUUUAUUUCUUCUCUUUCCUGUUUUCAAUUCCACAACGUAUAAUUCAUGUGAAUGCCAUUAAUGCAGUCUACGAUGAAAAUUAAAAGAUGAAAUUGUGUUUCUUUUAUUAUUUUUUUUAAUGUUGUAAUUUGUCUAGCUUUUUAUAUUUCCAGAAUUAUCUUUGUUUUUAUACAAUUUACAAAAAUACUUUUUUAAUAAAAAGGCGACGGGUUCAGAGUCGUUUUUCUCGGCUGCAUGCGGCUGUUUGUCCGAAUCCACUGUGAUGUUAGGGAUGAUUGGUCGAUUUGAAGGAUAAUACUAGUUGGAGGAUUUUAUGAUUCUUGACGAACGAAAAUGGUCGAGGGAGGUAGAGUUUCGAGGGCCGUCAUCUCUGUGUUGAGAAUUGUGAGGGUUCCGAGGGAGUAAAAAAUGAAAAUGAACGGGGCUAGGAUUCCCCAAAAAUUAAGGGUAAGUUUUUAUAAGAUUCAUAAAACGAUAUCGUUUUAUUAAAUGGAGUAUCCGACAGGUUUGUCGUGGGGCGGAUACUAACGGAUCUAUCAUCACGUACAAUUCGUAAUGGGCAGGUACCCGUCAUUCAUUGACGGAUCACUUUAACCGGAAAAAGCCAUUUCGAAGCCAGAUGGAUGGAUAUCCGCAUUAGCUUUUCAAAAUGUCAAGCCAACCGUUUAGUCAUUUAAUCCAAAAAUAUAUAUUUUCACUCAACUUCAAAUCAUAAAUAAAAAUUUAUGAAAUAAAGAUUAUGAGAAAUAUAAAUACCUAAUUUCAAAACUAUUCUUACUAAGGAUUCUUAAACCACAAACCAAAAGUGACCCAAAUAUUCAAAAUCUUUGCAGGCUUACUCGGUUCUCUCGGACAAUGUCAAGAGAAGAGCCUUUGAUGUGGAGAGAUGGAAACGCCUCUGCACUGAUUGCAACAGAAUGCCAUACACCACCACCUUGUCGAAUUCUAGCCCAUCCGAGAACUGCCAGCACGAUUCGAGAUCCUUGAGGAUUCGCCAGGCUCUGAACGAUAUAAGAGAAAGGUUCAAGGAGGAAGCCAGAGUUAUGGAGCAUUGUCUCAAGCUUAAUACCAAUGGUAAUGCUGCUGCUGCAAGGGAACUGCCAGUUUACAGUCCAUCUUCCUCGUCCCAGUCAAACCGGUUUUUCCAACGGGACAGCUGCAGAUCGAGACGAGAAUCGCCCGUCUUCAACCCGUCUGACUACGGUGUUGAGGGGUAUCCUCACCUCAGGAACCGGAGGGGCUUGAAUAAGCCUGAGAAUCUUUGGAACCUGCAGAGGAAACAGACGUUUAUUAGUCGUCGACAUGGUCAGGGGUCAACAAGAACUUUCGAGUGCCCCAUCUUUGAAAACAGGAUAGGCAGAGGGAUGUUGAAUAGCGUCCAUUCUUAGUUUGCUCUUUACUAGCUAGUUCCACAUUGAAUCACUUUUCUAAGGAAACGAGUAUUUCAUGAAAUCGUUAAAGAAUUUAGAGAUGGAAGUUGGUUGAAUUACUAAAUGAGUUAAUUAUCAAAGUUGAUCAUAUGACCGGGAAGAAAUGAUCAAUGGGACCCUAGUUUAGCCCCCAUAUCAACAAGCCAGAUCCAGUUUGAACAUAUCCACGAAAGUGUUUGGUUAGCGUAGUAUGUUGAAGUUUUAGCAUAUUGUGUUCAUCGAAUGAACAAUGGGGAAUCAGGAAAUCAGACAACUCUGUCUGAAACUGCAACCUGAGCAGCAAUAUUUCAUCUACUAUCCAAAUCUACUGUGGACAACAAAGGCUGUUCAGAACUUGAAGUACUGCUUGGACACGGUUCAUGCACACGGAAGACCGGAAAAAGCCUCUUCUCCGGAAGGUGUGGGAACGGUGCUUCGAAUUUAAAAACUCAAAUCGCUUGCCUAAUCGACGCCCUCUGCGAGCAAUCAGGACUGGAUGAGCACACCAUAAGCCUACAACAACCAAACACUCCACUUCCAUUUCCUCAAAAUCAUCACCAAGCCUGCUAUCAGUCGCCACACCGUGGUUUCCAUUCCCAUACAGCUCCCAAACCCAUUCCACCAACCCCAUUUCAAGCCCUUCCUCAAUGUAGUCCACAACCUCCUCCCCGUCGCAAUCUCCAAACAAACUGCCUCGCAAUCUCCCCAAUUUGAAGUUCUAGCGGUUACAGAGGAGGUUGCUAUCAAAAUUGAAGAUGAAGAGAACAACUCGGACAACUCUUGCUCCAGCGACAUGUCGUCUAUUGGGAUAAUCGAUUCAGAUAUUUCUAUGAAUGGUUUGAUUGAACCGGUUGCUAAAUCUUUUAAUUUUGUUUAAUUGAAGAGCCCAUUGAUUUGUGCCAGGAAAAUAACGUGAUAGAAGUAUAUGAUGAAAUAAAUGUGGAUACUCAUGAUCGGAUUAUUAAUUUUGUCGACAUAUCAUUAAUUAUUGGGAUGAAGUCAUUUGUCGUCUAUAACAGUACAACUAGCUUGGAAUUUGGAGAGCAUAGUUCGAAGACACUUAUUGGGCUACAAGAAGAAGUAGUUAGAAAGUUAUUUGACAAUGGGUAAAGAUUAGAAGAUUUAAAUAGAAUCUUGAGGACAAGGUUCUUUCGAAGAGGGAUGAUAUGUUACGUGCGUAUUUUUUAGAAUAAAUAAUUAGUUUAAUUUUAGUAUUAUCAGUUAGUUUUAGAGAUAUAAGAUGUGAUAUUAUUUAAUCAGUGAUUGAGUUCGUUUAGAUUAUUAAUUACAGUUUUGUUUAAGGAUUAAAACCUAUAAAAGACUAAUCAAUAUACUUUUGAAGGCAAGAAGAAAAUAAUUCAAGUUUAAUUUAUGUUUUAUUAUCAUGUCUUUAGUUUUAUCUAAGCUACUGUCCUAGCUCUUCAUCUUUAUGCCGCCAUCAUCAUAUUCAUUGUCAUAACUCAGCCAUCAUCAUCAUCACAUCAUCAAGAUCAUCAUCAUCCAUCCAUAUUUUCAACAACGGGCUCAAUGAGCUCGUUACACGAUCUCCCAGGGAGAGAAGGCAGAGGAAACGAUGGAGUUGUUGUUUGUGCCCACGUGGUAGAAAGGAGGAUCCCAGGCGGCAUUGACGAAGGAGUCGAACUCCACGUGGGCGACUUGGUUCGCCGGGGAAGACUCGGUAACUGAAGGUAUAGAGGCCCAUGUAGCCGCCGGCGGAAUUGGUCGUGACGGGGAAUCCGAAGGGUGCGAGGAAGAAGGAGAUUCCACAGGGGAGUUGUUUGAGUUUCGCCCACUUUCUGGGGGCGACGGAGAAGGAGAAGGGGGUAGUGAAGUCGGAGAGGUUGCCGGUGGCGGAAUCCCAGAGUGGGAUUUUGUCGGCGUAUGUGACUCGGCUGACUUCGUUGCGGUGGUGGGCGUUGGUGAGUCGGAUGAUUCCUGGAUCGAAUCUGGCAGCGCCUCCUUCGAAGAUUAUUGGUUCGUCGUUUGGAUCGUUGAAGCUUGGUUUGUGGAAUUUGACGGCGGAAGAGAAAAUGCAGAGGUGGAGGAGGAUAAUAACUGUGUAGGCAGAGGACGUGCCAUUCCAGUAGCAGCAGUAUGCCAGUAUGUGGAGGAUGUGAAUGUCCUCCAUUUUUCGAAGAUAUGAAGCUCUGAAAGCGUUGACUUUGAUUCAGGGAUCAAAUGGAUAUCUUCCUCCAUUUAAAGCUCUUUGACUUUACUGAGGAUCGUUUCUCUGUAUUAUAUUUCAUGAAAUGGAUUAUUACUCAACCAUACGGUUGAACCCCACCCGAUUAUCGAACCAUAUAUUAAGUGCAGAGGUUUGGUUGUGCCAUCUUGCCAUGUAUUACCCAUGAUUUAAUCCACAGACGACUGAUUAUUGAACCAUAUAACCCAUGAACAAUGAAAACCCGCAAUCAAUUUAAAUCGACCACGAGCCGACUGUUAUGCGAAUCUGUAAGAACUCGAGAAAAUGUCAAGACUUGAAACACCAAGUCGUUAUGUACUGGAAUAGAUAACAGAACAACUUACUAAAAUAGAAAAUAAAAACUUGAUCCAAAUACGAUUGAAACCUGUAAAACACAUUAAAUAUGAACGAUUAACGUGACUUCACGAACCAAAACUUAAUAGCCGAGUCGAUGGAUCUUCAAUCUAUAACUCUUAAUAAACAAACAAACGUUACCAAACAAACCAACAUCUGAUGGACGAACCAUUUAACCUAUGAACAAACCAAAAAUUACUUUGCCAAAAGCUUCAUGUGGUCAAACCAUUAACCAUGACUUGAUAACCUUUGGGUUCAAAACAGAAUUUAAGAGGGUGCAUGAGGAUUAUGGUAGGAUGGGCUGCACAUAAUAAACCCCCCUAAAUGAAGAGAGAAUCGGGAGCUCACAAACCAAACUUCCACAUUGUGCUAUUAUAACUGUCGUACAAAAUUGGUACAUAACUUAAUCAGCUCGAUAUCACUUUUGCUUGAGCUCUUCUUCUUUUACAGUAUUCCUUGGUUUCUACUUCUGUUAAAGCAAAAUGCAUCUGCUAACUUACCAUGGUUGCAGUCUCUUCAGGAUUCAAACUUCUUUACCCGACUCCUUAUCUUCCGAUCUUUUAAGGGUGCCAUCCUUGAUUAGUAGCUGCAGCUCUGAAUCGGCGAGUUUGCGGACUUUCUCAUCAGUGGAGUCCAAGAAUGCGUGUAUUACCUUGGAACUGCAGAACGACAGAAAUCACGGGACUGGUUAAGAACAGAUGUACUGUCAUAGCGUUGUUAAUAUUAUUAACUGAUGGCUGAUAGUAAGUAGCAAUGAGUAGCUUACCUGUGGCCUUUGGCCCAAACGCUACACUUCCCUUUCAAAGCCUUCUUCCACAGAAUAGCUGCAAAACCAGGGGCAUCCAAGACUAGCUUUCUGAUGGUUCGGCUUGCGUGGAAGUUUUCGAACACAUGUUCUUUCUCUUCAUCUUCAUAUUUAGACUCUGCCGCAACGGUUGCUAUUGCCUCAUGCAAGGUGGUCAGUUUCUUACCAAGUGAAGGGAGAAGAACGCCCUUGUUACCGCCAGUUGCAACCUACAUAUAUCACCACAAAUGUAACAUCAACUUUAGUUGCUGAUACGAAAGGCUAGGCUGUAAUUAAUGUCACUAAAACAAUGUCAAUGGAGAGUUCAUUGAUAAAUACCUCAUACAAGACUUCCUUUCCAAAGUUAGACCUGAGUAGCUCUUCCACGUUUUCAGUGCAUACAUCAAUGACGUUCUGCAAAAAGAACAACAGUGAUCAGUUACACAAUAUGACUCCACCAUGAAAUAGCAUGAACUGGAAAACAAACCAACUAACCUCAGCAAGUCCACUUUCAACCAAUAAUUCCCGUCUUCUUGUUAACGCAUCUUUCUUUCCACCUUCAACCAGAUUUUCAGUUUCAUCUCCCUCAGCCAUGGUAUCAUCUUCCACGUCAUUUUCCCCAUCAGCAGAUCCUUCAUUUGUUACCGUCUUUGUUUCAUCAUUCACAUUUACUUUGGUAUUGGAUUCCGUCCCAGCCUGCCAUACAAAACCAACCAUUAAUUAGCGGUAAAAACGCACCAUAAUCUAGAAAAGCUAGAGAGUAUGGGAGAGAGUAUAAAAGUUGUGACCCACCUUUGCACUGAGAGAGGGAAUAGAUGAAUUCAGAGAAGCAAGUUCAUCAGGGCUGAAAUAGCGAGAACAGUUUGGAUGAAGAAGCUGCAAUAUCGGACGCCUUCCAUUCUGAAAUUCAGAAUCAUAAGGGAGAAAUAAAUAAUUGAGAGCAGGUGUAGGGGGAAAAGACCAUGCACAAUAAGAAUAGUACAGCAAUUUGACAUAUACAAAAAUAACAAUGAUUUUAUCCAGUCAAUGUUUCUCAAGAAAUGGUAUCUCUAUCUAGUUUCAGUACUCUAUCUCUUUUACCUUAUCAACAAUGAGAUCCUUCAAACAAGAUUGAAGCUCUCGAACCACAAUCUGCAAUCAGAAACAUUGAAUGAAACGUCAACCAAAAGAAACAUUUAAACAAGAUAGACAAACCACUUGGCAUUCAUUGAAAUGUACCUUUGUCAUUAUUUUUGUGUCAUCCACAGUGGAUAAAAUGCAAGCGAGAACCUGAUCGCAAUUGAUAAAAACAGAGCUUUGUUCAGAAACUUGCAAAAAAAUCCUCAGAAAAUAUUUUUUCCUACGAAAGUAAUGACAAGAAAUGUGUUAUCUUACCACGCUACCACAUUGAUCUAACGCAAUCUUCACUAUGUGGCUCUUCAUUCCUUUGACAAUUUUCUUUCUUUCCUAAACAUAAUAGUGAGAGACAACAAGUUAAUCCAACAUAAGAUUUUGAACCUUGUGUAGCUAACAAAAGGAACAACCGGCUUGAACUUUGUUCUAGGCUUGAAAGAACAGGACAAUGACAAACCUUUGCACUCCCAUGCUUCACACAAAGUACACCAAUCCGAGACCCAUCCUUUGUAUGGAUCAUUCGAACAAGAAGUGCACCAGACAAUUGCUGAAGUAUAUCAGCUGCAGAGGACUACAGACAAGAUCAUUAGGAAGUGAAUAAGGGUAUCAUCCAAGAGCCACUGUCACCCAAGGAAAGGCAUGUUACUAGAGAUGUUUUCUAGAGAAAACGGAAUCUGUAACAUUUCAACACACCUUAUCAGCUAUGGAGAAGUACUCCAUAAUCACUCUAUGUAUGAUAGAGUGGUCAACAAUUCCUUUCUCCAGUAUUGGCUGAAUCACAGAAAUCAUAUGUCUCGAAACAGCGGGUUUUUGAAGCUUCAACUUUGAGAUCACAUCAAGCAACCUGACAUACGCUUUGGUGAGAAACUGCACUCUAAUUAGCACAUACCACACUAUGAUCACAACUAAUGCAAAAAAACUAGACUACUAAGUUGAUUACCUGGUCUCUUUGAUUGAAGAAAGAUCCUUGAACAGCUGAAGCUCGGUGGAAUACAACUCAAGCAAAAGAUCUUGUUUUUGAGUUGCAUUACCUGCUUGGUAUACAUGCUCAACAACUGGAGAAAAGAUUAAAACUGUUAAAUAAAUUGUUUUCCAGACAGGAACUAUUGUAUCAACAGCAAGAAAUUCCAUCUUUUAAAGUAAAUGUAAAAAGAAGAUCAAAGCCGCACAAACAGCAUACCAACUGAUCCAACCAUGUGGCGAAGAAGAGAAGCAACAUGGCCACGAAGAGAGGCUAUGAAAUCUGCAACCUGCUUCUUAGAAGCUGCAAAUUUGAAGUGCAAUCAAGUUUAGAUGGGGAUAAACUGGGUGGAUUGAAAGACUUAACACAUUUCAACACAACAUCAAACUUCACUUAUUCAAGCUUACCACUAUCUAACAUUUUCUUCACGAGAUGAACCGCAUAUGGGUUGCAAGUGAAGUUCAAGAAAUGAGGUCGCAGCUCACUAAACACAACGUCCCUCUCCGUCUGUGAGCAAUACUUUACGCACGUCUGAUUCAAAAAAACAGAACAACCAGUAUCAAUAAACACCACAUAAAGGAUACAAAUAGUGAGUAGUUCAGAGAUACCGAACAAGAAAAAUACCUGCAGAACACGGGAAGAAACAUGAGAAGUAGCAAUUUCGGGAAUCUUCCCUUUCAUCUUCUGUAUGGCUUCACUGAUUAACCUUUUAACGACAGAAUCCAGUCAGACAAAAAACCAAAAGAGAAAACCGAUACACGUCUGUGGUUUCACUUUCACCUACUUGGAUCUUUCUUCUUUGCCAAUGUUACGUUUCCUCAUCUUCUCCCAUAGCCGAGCAAGCUCCUACUCAACAAACAGAAAGCAAAUCUUUGUUUCAUACCAACCGAUAAACUAACUAAGAACAAAAGGAAAGCUAAACAUGAAACACUUACUUGCUCCAAGCUGUAGUGUCGCUUCCUCUUCAUCUUCCUAGCAUCAGCCAACUCCUGCAAAGCCAUUAACAAACAGAACAACCAGUAUCAAUAAACACUCGAUACACCAAUGAAUUCCUAAUUUCCCAUCAAACCAGUACAUCACCUUAGCUUGGAUUCGAAGGUCUCGCUUGGAUAGAGGCUGGGUUGUUUGUUGACCAGCUCCCGGAUGAUUCGAUUUCCCCUGUUUCGGAUUAAAAGGCUGUUUCGUCUUCUUGUCGUCGGCAUUUGAGCUACCGAACUUCGGCUUUUUGGUUGCAGUGCCAUCUUUGCCAGCCUUGUGCCCCGGAGAUUGCUUCCUCUUCGUCGAACUUGUGCUGUCUACCUUGUUCUCCGCCAUCUUAAAGCAGCUCGAGUUCGUUUUCUUCUUUUUGAUUCUUCUCCGGCCGUUAAAUUGCUUUGCAGGGUUUUUGCCAAGGUUUUCUUUAAGGGUUUGGUUCGGUCUCGGGUCGGGUUUCGGAGAAACGAAGUACGCUAGGCAGGCUGGUUUGGGCCCAAAGCGUGCAUAUUCGGCCUGUUUUAUUCUGGGCUAUAAACUGCACUUUUUAAACAAUUAACGACGGCGCUUGCUGUGCAAUGAUUAGAUGUCAAACGUAAGAUCAAACAGAAGGAAUAAUUGUAAAAUUGCAUGAUGAGAGAGCGUAUAUUAAUGCAAUGAAAGAAAGGGACAAGCUGCUGCUGCUGCUGCUGCUGCUGUCUGGGUAAUAAUUACAAGCAACAACCUGCAGAUAACUCAUCAUCAUAUGAAAAACAAAACAUCAGUGAUUUGGUCUCUGUCAAGCUUCGAAUGGAUCAUGAUGUUGGGGGAAAUUUCAUGAUGAGCAGCUCAAAACUGUUGGAAUUUUCUAUUCCUUGGUAGGAUCAAAAAGGUUAUGAGAGAUCCCUUGAUCGAGCUGUUUAUUAUUAUGGUGUUAAAACAACUUAGGUUCCACGGUGGACGCUCUAUGUGAAGCAAGCAGCAUCAUGGCUUUUUGGGCUGUAGCCAUUUUCUGCGUUUUAAGUUUUUACCAUCUGUGUUCGACUCGAACAUGAUCAAGAUUGUAUAAACUUAGAGGAGGUUUAACGGUUGGAGGGUUGAUUGAAAUCGAAUAGUUAGAUUAUCGAAGAGAGAACGUUACAAUAGUUCAUAUAAAUAUACAUGAUAAUGUUAAACAAAUCACAGAGACAAAGUAGAUUCACCCGGAAGCAAAACCAAACAAAAAUAUUCACCCGGGUUGGGUUGGAGGCCGAGGAAGUGGAGAAAAAACCGACCACAGUGGGAGUCGAACCCACGACCUUCUGAUCCGAAGUCAGACGCGCUAAUCCACUGCGCUAUGCGGUCAUUUAUGGUGCUUUCAUGCACUUAAAUCUUUAUAUCAAAGAGAUUAAACAACCAAGUACUUUAACAUAAAGCUCGAGUUUCCUUAUUUAAGGAGGCUUUAAAUAUGGUGUUAACUAUUUAAAGUUUUAAUGUCCAAUUUCCAGCAGAUGCAUCAGGAUUCAGGGCUGGAAUGAAACUUACAAGAACAGAAGCAUAAACUAGUUUUAUGAACCUUCUUUCCCAACGACACCUCGUGCACGAUCGUAGAGCCACCAUAUAUUUGAAGGUAAAUUCAACAAAACUCCCUCGUGUAAGCUGUCUCUGCUAAAAAUACAAGAUGCUAAUGUUCACCGUAUAGAGAAACUCAAACGAGGGAAACCAGUUUCUUCUUCCAAGGUCCAUGGGAUCAAAAACCGAGAACACAAGUGCUGUACAGAGGUCUCCACUUCUACUCAACACCGUCACUCUAAUCCUCAAUACCUUCCUCCCCUCACCUGGUAGAAUAAAUAAAAUAAAACACAUUACGUUUUAGAUACAGACCAACAUAUUAUACACACAGAACUGGGUCUAGGCACAAAUUGUUUGUUAUCAUAAGAGAGCAAGCAAGCAAGUGCAUGGUGAAUGUAACUUGGCUUAUGAGAGCAACAAAAAUACCAAAUUCAUUCAUCUUUGCCACAAGCUAUGAAGGGCCAAUAUUUUAGCUAGUAAGAUAGCUAGAGACGUACUUGAUCGGUGCCAGGCUGACCCAUAGGGCUGUAGUCUUCUCGUCCUUCCUGUGUAUUCCUCUGAUCCAUUUGUGAAAAUCCUUGAACUUCACCGGGAUGACCACGUCCAGUGCUGACAUUUGCACCUUGCCUGUAGGUUCCACCAUUCAUGGGUGAAUAAUUACCACCAUCUCCCCUAGGAUCCCUCUGCCCAGGAGGUCCAUAAUUACCACCUUGAGCUGGAUGAUAGUAAUUUCCCUGCUGUCCCUGGCUAUCCUUAGCCUUAUCGUUCAGCGGGAUCUGGCCACCAUGAGGAGGAUAGUUUUGCUGUCCAGAACCAUAAUUGUUCGGCAGAGCACCAAAAUUCUGUUGAGGAGCACCAUAAUUAUUCCGCGGAGCACCAAAAUUCUGUUCAGAUUGAGCACCAAAACUCUGUUGAGAAGCACCAGAAUUAUUUUGCGGAGCACCAAAAUUCUGUCGAGAUUGAGCACCGAAACUUUGUUGAGGGUAGUUUUGUGGAGGAGGAGGUGCACCAAACUGUUGUUGAGAUGGGAAAUUCUGUGGAGGUCCAUUAUUCCUAUUAUCCCCUCGCAUUGGUCCUUGUUGUUGAUGUUGAGGAUAACCUUGUUGCCGGAAGUCGGGGUUACCCUGUUGGCCGUAUCUUCUACUUCCCUGUUGGCGCGAUCUGUCGUUCCUCCGGUACUGUACCGGUGGAGGCCUGUGCGUAAUCACUCCGUUUUCAUACUUGUCUCCUGCAAAACCCGUACAGUUUAUUCCACACGUGCUACAGGUUUGACUCUCCUAGUGAGCUUCGACUACAUACCACACUAUCGGGUCAAAGAACUUCCAAGGAACAAGAGCCUUUACCUCCAUACUCUUUGUUUACAGGAUCAAUGUAGGAAUCUGGUAAGACAAAAAGAACUCCAGGUACAUCUGUUUAAAAUUGAAGCAAGAAAUCAGUUCGAGUUUGACGGACUUAUCAAUGAGUAAUCCAACCCAAAAAAUCUCUCACCUUUGAAUUUCUCAGAUUCGUUCUCGGUCAUUAUAGUUUGAAACCCCUGAUAAGUAGUUGUGCUACAUGCAUACAUCUUUUGAUUGGCCUCCUCGAUGCUGGCAAAUCGGCAUCAGUCAGAAAAUCAACCUAUAGCUAAGCAACUGUAACUAUUUACUUGAUCAAUAUCCGGAUGAAAAUGAAGCAUUUCUGUGGAAAGUAAACCCUAGCUCGGGCAGAUAUAUAACGCAAUCAAUCAAUCAAUCCUGCAGUGUCUUAUGAUCUAAAGAAAUGGAAGUACCUAACACCGAGUCCUUGAGCGCAGAUUCUCUCAUAAGUGGCGACCAUCUCCUCGGGCGAGGGCGCAGGGUCCUUGGGGAAAUCAACGGUGAUCAGCCAGUGAUUGAAAUCACAACCUUCGAAGAGUACAGUGUCCUCCGUGAUCUCGUCUCCUUCUUUGUACAGCUUAUACUUCUUUUCCCCCGCCAGCGAUACCCUUGAACCAGUGAACCCACGAGAUUGGGAGAAGGAGAACAACUUCGGAGACGAAGAAACGGGGGAAGCGUAGGGGAGCAUACGAGGAGGAGGAGGAGAGAGAGCGCUGGGAAGCUGAGAAGGAGGUUACAGCCCGCCGGAGACGAUAGAAUUGGAAAGCCAUGACAACGGUGAAAGCCAAGUGCGCAACGGAGAGUAAAGACUGCUUGCAGUUGCAGGGGGGUUUACCGAGGGUUUUAGGCUCACACCCUGUAAAUCAUACAGAUAGAAGCCCAAAUGGUCAACAGUGACGAUUCGGUCCAAAUCGGUCGCCGAAUUCGACUUCGGUACAAACCAAAAAACAUAAUCGCGGCGAUUUCAAUUCGGUUACUCGAAUUUGAUUUCAAUUGCUAAUUAUUCAUCGACAAAAAGUAUAUAAUUUCUAAUAAUCUAAUUUAAAUUACUCAACCUUAUAUAUGGAUCACAUACAUAACUAGUUAGUACCCCAAUACUAACUAGUCUCGUCCAGCGGUUAACUAUAUGUUGGUUGAUGACCGAACGAAACUUGAGCUCGACGGAAUGCAAAAACAUAUAUAAGGUUGUCGAGCCCAGCACGGUGUUUAUGCAAAGAUUGCCCUAGAAUAUGAACAAUGCCAAUGGCGGGGUUGAGCCAAAUUUGGGGGUGUAAGUGGGGGCGGGCAACAAGGCAGAUAAGCUGAACAAGAUAUCAUCUUUCUUUCUUUCCUGUGCAUGUAAUCUUUGCCUCGACGUUUUGAACAAGACAAAGCGACAGCCCACGAUAAGUUUGGUUGGCAACAUGUACAUUAUUAUUAUUAUGGAAAGAAAGAAAGAAAGAAGAAUAUAUGAAAGGAAGCAAUUAUGCAUGGGUAGCUAGCUAGUUUUGCCAUGGAAUGCGACAAGGGCUUAGCUGGGUUGAGCACCAGAAAUGCACACAAGUGUGAAUGGGUUAGUUGUUGGAAUAGUUAUGCAUGCUAGCUAGAAUGACAGGCAGAUAGUUUUGUUUCUUAUGGUUUCCCACAUCCAUGUCAAGAUCCACUGCUAUCCCCGCAAAUUUCUAACCAGGUCUUUGUCACAGAAUUAACAAGUCAAAACUUUGUUAUAUUAAUAAGGACCAAAUGCGUAGUGUAAAGUCGUCAAUCAUUGUUUAUCCAUGUGACUGGCCCCGUGUAUAAUAUAGUAGAUCUUAACAUGCUCCUCUGCUUCAUCCAGUUGAAAAGACAAAACCAUAUGCGUUAAUUAAGUUGUAAUUUGAGAAACAGUGUUAAGAUCAACUAUGUUAACUCGUAUGAAAAGACAAAACAUUCUAUUAUAUUAAUCAUGCUUUUUUAUAUUUUUUAAACUUUUAAAUUGUUUAAAGGUCGAUCUCAUGAUUUGGGUUGACGUUUAAUUUUGUUUGUUUGUUGCUAUUAUGAUCUUUCUUUUCAUGAGCCACCUAUAACAAAGAAAUGUUCUUUUCAUUUAAUAUAUGUCAAAAGCAUAAAUAGUAUAUUUCACAAAUGAAUGCAGGUACCAGAACUAUUUAUUGAAAACAAUAGAUUUGAAAUGUUAUAAAUUAAAUUGUAUUAUGGUUUUAAAUNNNNNNNNNNNNNNNNNNNNNNNNNNNNNNNNNNNNNNNNNNNNNNNNNNNNNNNNNNNNNNNNNNNNNNNNNNNNNNNNNNNNNNNNNNNNNNNNNUAAAAAAGAAAAUAACAACUAAGAAAUGUAAAAAUUAAACAAACAAAACAAUGUCGCCAAAAAUAAACUGACCCGACGUCGUCUCAUAUCCAAUAGCGGUAAAGGAAGAUGUAGGUCGUACGCCAAUUUUAAUUUACAUAAUUGGAAUGCGGCACGGAAAAAAAUUAAAAUCUAAAACGGAAAGAAUUAAGUGAUUAAUAAAAAAAACGUGUAUUAAAGAAAGAAAGAAUGGAUUAGUGCAAAUCACUAAUUGUCCACAAUUACAGAAACCAAAUAAAAUUAUUUUUGGAGUGGGGUUCCUUGAUUUUAAAAUUUUAAAUAAUUUAGAUUCAAUUUCUCAUUUAUACAUUUCAAAAUACUAAUUUAAAAUUAUAAAUAUUUAUAAAAAAAUAUAACGACCUUAAAGUCUCAUAACANNNAAGUCUCAUAACAAUUUAAAAAAAAAAAAAUGUCCAAACCUGAGCAAAUCUGGAGAGGAGUCAUUUUGAAUAUUUUUGCAGGUUAGGUGUGGGGAAUAAUUGCAUGCGUUGGGCUUUAAAUAAUGAAGCAAAUCCCCAUGUUAUGUUCCUUGAUUUCCCACGUCAACCAGCGACACUACUAACUUCAAAAUACACCAAAUUCAUUGGGAAAAAUAUAUAUGUAUAUAUAUUUUAAUUUCUUUAUAGAGUUUUGUACUGUUGUGUAUGUGUGUAUAUAUGCAAAUAUAUACAAUUAAGGAAUACAAUUAAGGAAUAUAAUUAUUCUCAAUUCAAGUGUUGAGAGAGCAUAUUAUUGUUGAUGAUUAACCAACACACACCAAACAGUUAUUAGUUACACAAUUACUAUUGAUUAUAACUAAUUGUUAAAUUGUGUCACUUGUAAACAAACGAUAUACAAUUUUUUUUUUGAAAAAUAAACUAUAAACGAUUAUAACUACUUGCUCAUAUAACUAGUUACAGAAUAUUAUAAUGAGUUAUGGUAGCCGGGCGGGUCAUCGCCGGUGGGAUAUUUAGAUUUAUAAAAAGUUAUACAGCACCNNNNNNNNNNNNNNNNNNNNNNNNNNNNNNNNNNNNNNNNNNNNNNNNNNNNNNNNNNNNNNNNNNNNNNNNNNNNNNNNNAGAACCGAAAUUUUGACACACCGGCCGUUGUCCCUUACGUAACAGGCAAAAUUAUGCCUGUUACGUAAGGAUUACGUAACGGCAGUUGUCCCUCACGUAACAGGCAAAAUUAUGUCUGUUACGUAAGACUAAAGGCCGUUAUUUAAGGCUUACGUAACGGCAGUUGUCCCUUACGUGACAGGUAAAAUGAUGCAUGUUACGUAAGACUAAAGGUCGUUACGUAAGGCUUACGUAACGGUAGUUGUUCCUUAUGUAACAUGCAAAAUCAUGCAUGUUACGUAGGAGUAAAGGCCGUUACGUAAGGCUUACAUAACGCUGAUGUAACGACAGUUGUUCCUUACGUAACGUAACCUGCUAUUGUAGGUCACUAACGCAAAGUCACCUUACUUUGAGUUAAUUCGAGUCACUCUAGAAAAAAUAUUGGGGUGGAGGAGGUAGAUAAGAUUUAUAUUUUUUUAUUUUUAUCAAUAAGAUAUAUAGAUAAGAUUUAUGAUAAUUAUGAAUUAGACUAGGUACAUACUUACCUUUUUUCCUCCUAACAUUGUCGAUUGUAUUAAUGUAAAUAUAAUUAGAAUUUCGUUUUCACGAACCAUUAUUAUUAAUAAUUACGACUUAAAGUCCACCGUUUCUAUAAAAAAAGGUACAUACUUACUAGUGUUUUGUUUUGUAUUUUAUAACGUUUCCGUGUAUACAUUUAAUUAUGCUUUGUUAAGCUCGCCAUUUAGCUAGGAAGCGGAUGGCAAUUAUAUAUGGUACGGUUAUCCAUAAUUAAUAUACAUGGGCUGCCCUGGAAUUUCUUAAUAUGUGAAAUUAUCUGUUUACCUGUGUCUCUGUUUGGAAGACAUACUUCCAUAAUAACAAUAACAACAACAAGAGACACUCUUGAUGGAAGGUACCAAUGACGUCUGAUAGCCACAAAUUUUACAAAAGUACCGAAAACAAUGUCGGGAACGUUUCUCCUAAAUUAAUUGAUAGUAAUUUUGGAUUUUUUAUUAGUUUUAAAAAGUUUCAGUCUUGGGUUAGGUUUUGGAGUUUCUCCUUGUAAUAAUGUUGUAUGGUGGUUCUUUAACACCGGGACCGAUAGAGCCACCAAGAUGUUUGGAGAUCAGUGCGGUGGGUUCGUGGUCAAGAGAGAUUGAUAGAAUCGAUUCCAAAAAGCUUGGAGAUCGCCGGAUAAGAUAGCCUUUGUGCAAAGCCUCGAGUGGUCAGCGACCUUCUCACAACUAUGGUUGGGGGCCAAUAUGCAAUGUUCCGAAAGUCUUGAAAGUUGGGUGACUGCUGUUCAGAGACUGUUCUGCAAUAACCAGACGUUCCGGGUCUGGUUCAGUAAUUUUAGCAUCUUUGCCAUGAUUUUGAUUUUUGAGAGAGAGAGAGAGAGAGAGGGGGGUAGAGUGCGUAGGUCCCGCUUUAUUUUUGGUCUCUCUCUUCCCUGUCAAUCCACAUGCUGUUUCUCCUCCAAAUGCCCUAUUCCCCUUUUUUUUUAAUAUAAUUUUCGUUUUCCUAAACUUCCAUUUUUAAUUACUGAAAAUUAAUAAACUAUAUUCCCAAAAAUUAAUAAAUUAUAUUCCAUUUUUCUCACCGAUUCCUUCUUGUGCGGCCGUCUGUUCUCCAAACCGGAAAACCAAUAUGCCACUGCUCUCCAUUUGACUUUGCUCCCUUUUCCUUCAAUUCCAAAAUUAAAUCUUUUCUCUGAAUUAUAUACUAUUGAUUUUCAACAAAAACACAAAUNNNNNNNNNNNNNNNNNNNNNNNNNNNNNNNNNNNNNNNNNNNNNNNNNNNNNNNNNNNNNNNNNNNNNNNNNNNNNNNNNNNNNNNNNNNNNNNNNNNNNNNNNNNNNNNNNNNNNNNNNNNNNNNNNNNNNNNNNNNNNNNNNNNNNNNNNNNNNNNNNNNNNNNNNNNNNNNNNNNNNNNNNNNNNNNNNNNNNNNNNNNNNNNNNNNNNNNNNNNNNNNNNNNNNNNNNNNNNNNNNNNNNNNNNNNNNNNNNNNNNNNNNNNNNNNNNNNNNNNNNNNNNNNNNNNNNNNNNNNNNNNNNNNNNNNNNNNNNNNNNNNNNNNNNNNNNNNNNNNNNNNNNNNNNNNNNNNNNNNNNNNNNNNNNNNNNNNNNNNNNNNNNNNNNNNNNNNNNNNNNNNNNNNNNNNNNNNNNNNNNNNNNNNNNNNNNNNNNNNNNNNNNNNNNNNNNNNNNNNNNNNNNNNNNNNNNNNNNNNNNNNNNNNNNNNNNNNNNNNNNNNNNNNNNNNNNNNNNNNNNNNNNNNNNNNNNNNNNNNNNNNNNNNNNNNNNNNNNNNNNNNNNNNNNNNNNNNNNNNNNNNNNNNNNNNNNNNNNNNNNNNNNNNNNNNNNNNNNNNNNNNNNNNNNNNNNNNNNNNNNNNNNNNNNNNNNNNNNNNNNNNNNNNNNNNNNNNNNNNNNNNNNNNNNNNNNNNNNNNNNNNNNNNNNNNNNNNNNNNNNNNNNNNNNNNNNNNNNNNNNNNNNNNNNNNNNNNNNNNNNNNNNNNNNNNNNNNNNNNNNNNNNNNNNNNNNNNNNNNNNNNNNNNNNNUAUAUAUAUAUAUAUAAUUAAAUGCUUUUCAAUCAGUACCAUGCUUACACAACAAAGCUGCUCUGUUUCUCUCCUUCUCUCCUUCUCUCUCUUCUUCCAUUUCCUCUUCUCUCUCUUUCAUUGCUCUGUUUCCUCCAUUUCCUCUCCAUCUCUCUUGGUUUUCCAGCAACUUCUCCCUGAGCCUUCUUCCUUAAUCAGCUCACUCUUGGUCACUGUUCACCAAUAGAUUUGACCUCAUGAAGAUGCCAGUAAGUACGUUUUCUAUAUCUAAUUUUCCAUAGCUUGCUCUGUUUUUAUUUCAUAUAGAGAAUCUGGGUUGACCAGAAACUGUAGUUGGUCUUCAUUCAUCACCUUUUUUGCAAUCUACCCAAUUGGGGGAAGAUUAAGGAAAUUCAAUCUUUCCCUUUAGUUUAGUUUGUCGUGGGGCUGAUUGGAUUUCUAUGGUGUAGCUAUAGAAUAUAGUUCACUGUUCUUUGCUUUCGUCAAUUGGAAAAAAAAUCGCCAUGUAUUCACUCUGUUCUUUGCCGUAGGAUUCUUUUUCUUCUUCUUUCUUUCUUUUACGGUUUUCCCUCUUUUGUGGGUAAGUUCAGCUUUCCACAGAUUCGGUUUCACUCUGUUUUCUUCUUCCUUUUUGCAUUUCUAGCAACUGAAUUUUUUUAGAUUCCUUUGCCCAUCUUCAUUUCCCUAUUCUUCACACAAUCAACGCAAAUCAAAAUCCCACCCCUUUUAUUACGGCCAACUGCCAUAAUUCUGAAAUGUUUCUCACACAAAUUUUGUCAAACUCAUCUUCUUUCAACAUCGUCAUUUUACAUUGCAAUAACCCGCAUAGCAAGAUGGGAUUAUUAUCAAUGGUGGGUUGAGUUUGAUUCAGGUUUAUCCAUCUUUCCCACCGUCAAAUUUUCAACCUUUUUUGAGUUUUUUUUAUAACUUGUUAUAACAGGUAGCAUUGCUCCUGCUGCUGGCACUAAUAAGCUUCUCAAAUGGAGAAGAGGGAACAAUAGAAUGGAGCGAUGGGAGAUGCGAUCACAAGCCGAGCUUACAGCCUAGGCCACACAGCGUUUCCAUCUUGGAGUUUGGUGCCGUUGGGGAUGGGAAAACAUUGAACACCAUAGCUUUCCAGAAUGCUAUAUUCUACCUCAAGUCAUUUGCAGACAAAGGCGGCGCUCAGCUUUAUGUACCCGCUGGGAAAUGGUUGACUGGAAGCUUCAACCUCACUAGCCACCUCACUCUCUUCCUUGCAAAGAAUGCUGUCAUCCUCGCUUCCCAGGUUUGUAUAUGUUUUAGAAUCAAACAUCACCUGAGAAAUUGUGGAAAAGAUUGUGACUUUUGUUUUUUGUUUUUUGGAUUAGAACUCAUCACAUUGGGAUCUGGUUGAUGCUUUGCCAUCCUACGGACGUGGGAUUGAAGUUCCUGGGAGAAGGUACAGGAGUUUGAUCAAUGGAUAUAAGUUGAGGGAUGUUGUAAUAACCGGUACGAUUUUCAACCACUUCUUGUAUGAUCGUUUUAGCUAGUGGCAUUUCCAUUUUGUUGACAUAAGUGUUGGAUUUUGAUUAUUUUGUAUAGGUGACGAAGGAACCAUCGAUGGCCAGGGCGCGGUGUGGUGGGAUUGGUACGAUACGCAUUCGUUGAACUACAGCCGGCCUCAUCUGGUCGAGUUCAUCGAGUCCGAGAACAUCGUGGUCUCGAAUCUCACAUUCGUCAAUGCGCCUGCUUACAGCAUUCAUCCAGUUUACUGCAGCCAUGUCCUUGUUCAGAACAUCUCGAUAUCCACCCCCUCGGAAUCUCAUGGCACAGUUGGGAUCGUCCCAGGUUAGUUACGCACAGCAAUGCUGCAAAAACUACCGAUGAACCUCUACCAAGAACUCGACUUAUUCGGAUUCAAUAGUUUUCCUACGGUUGUUCACGAACCGAGCCGAACUCCAUUAUGCUCGAGCUCGAGCUAGAAAUUUUACUAAUGAGCUCGACUCGUUAACUACUCCUUGACGAGCUUAACUUAAACGUUGCUCGUUAAAACCCACUAAUAUAAUGAGUCCCAUUUAAGCUGAAUUUGAAGGUACUACACUAAAAAAACUGACGGGUCAAGCUAAAAAAAUAAGUUAUACUAAAAUUACAAAUUUUUACUUUUCUCAAUUAAAAUAGUUAAACCUAAACAAUGUACCUCUUUCAUUAGCAUAAUCCCAUAUUACAUAUGAUCUGUGGUGUGUGUUGCAUUAUUGAGUCUACUAACGAGUCAUAUACUCGAGCUAGUAUUAGAUUUGUCUCGCGAGCCUAUCGAGCCGAGUCACGUACGAGCUUUUGAGCCUUCUAACUGUCCAGUUGAUGUGAGAGGCCUUGUGAUUGAAUCCGGUCAGCCCUCAAUAGAACAUUUACAUAUGUGCACAAGGCCUGACCGACCUACUCAAACUUCAAUUCUCUUUCACGGGCUUCCGUUUGAGGGGUAAACCUGUAAUCUAACAUAGUGUGAUAUUGUCGCAGAUUCAUCCAACAACAUUUGCAUAGAGGACAGCAGCAUUGAGACAGGACAUGAUGCCAUAUCACUAAAGAGUGGGUGGGAUGAAUAUGGCAUCUCAUAUGGCAGACCAACAACCGAUGUCCACAUUAGAGAUGUCUAUCUCAAGUCAUUCUCCGGGUCCUGCAUUGCCUUCGGAAGCGAGAUGUCCGGAGGAAUCUCGAAUGUCCAGGUCGAUCAAGCCUUCCUCCACAACUCAAUUAGUGGAAUCGAGCUGAGAACCACUCAAGGAAGAGGCGGUUACAUCAAACAUGUUAUUGUAUCAGACAUCGAGCUGGUGAACAUCACUACCGCAUUCGGUGCUAGAGGUGAUGUAGGGACCCAUCCCGAUGAAGAAUUCGACCCUCGAGCUCUUCCUACCGUCCAAGGAAUCAGCUUUAUGGAUGUGGUCGGUUCGAACGUGACAUUUGCCGGUAACUUCACCGGAAUCGAACAAAGCCCCUUCACCUCAAUAUGCAUGGUGAAUGUGACAUUGACACCGGAGCCAUCAUGGGUGUGCUUGAAUGUUGAUGGCUUCUCCGAGAGUGUCUCUCCAUCACCGUGCCCUCAGCUAUCGAAUCCGGUCACAGGUUCGUCGUCCUGCUACACCAUCACCAUGGAUUCUUAUGCUAAAUCCGCCAGCUUAUGAAUGAAAACAAAAAUGAAAAGUGGCGGGGAAAUGGGAUAUUCUUCAAUUUAUAGAGUUUUUCUAAGUGUCUUAUAAAAUAUUUUAGGGCAGAUUCUUUGGAAUAAGACCUCAUUUGUCUAGAUAGGAUUUGAUUUGUUUCUUGGGGGGGAGGUUUCUUUCAACUGUUUGUCUUUUCUUUUCUUUUUGGUUUAUUUUUUUUUUUCAUGUUGAUGAUUGUCUGCUACAGACAGAUGGUUAUUUUGUGUACAGCUUCCCAAUUCUUCAUUCAAUUCGUGUAAGCAAAAUUUUUGGUAGUGAUUUCAUUGCACAAAACUUUUCCAAGAGACCAAAAAAAAGACAAGAAGAAAAGAGAAUCAGUUGGGUUACAUUUGCUGUCUCUCCACAGUUGAGUUAGUGGUUGUUUGGUACAUAGAGAAACAAGUCGCAUGAAAUUCUUCGAAAACUCUGUAUUGCUGAAGAUAAAAACUGCAUCAAAUUAGUGAUAAAUCAACGUACGGAGUAGUACUUUAUCGAGGACCGACUCUGAAACCGAAUCUAAUGUGUCAAACUCGAAACUCCGGAGUACUUUGGUGGUACAAUGUAGUAGUGUAGAAUGAGAAACUAGGGUAAGUAUUAAACGUGGCAAAGCUUGUUGGUCAAAAACAGCUCCCCUGGGAAUUGGUGUGAGAGUUUGUAUUGUCAAGAAAAAGGAAGAGACUUAUCAUAGAAAAGAAGGACAGUUCACAGCAGUAGUGGAGAGCGGUGGUUUUAUUGGGUGUUCCAGUCUGUGUUUUUGUUUGGUAGUAAAAUGUUACAGACGGCCGCCGCACACUGGCCGGCCAUGUUGCCGUUGGUGCGGAUCCAAUGCCAACGGCAUCUUUUGGUUGACGGUGUUUUAAUGUAUGCUGUGAGUGUGAAUGAUUGGAAAUUAUUAUUAAUCAAAAUUUAUAAGUUGGGGGGUUUUGCUCCUCUGUUUUCCAUGUGACUCACUGGAGACUUUUGCUUAACUAUACCAAAAAGCUAACACAUAAUAUUCUGAUUUACGUUUGUCUUAAGAUAGUAUCGUAUCGUGAUUCGAUAGUGUUCGGUCUCGUUGAUCGGGUGGAGUAACAACCGCUCUGAAUGAGUUUGUGUAGUUUGAUUGUUUAUCGGACUCAAUGGACUGCUUGUAGACCGGUCUACAAUGCAUCCGAGAGGGGAGAAACAUGAGUAGAAGGAAGAACGGUAAAACGAAUAUGAAAAAAAAUGUUUAGGAAAUUGCUGAUUCAUCCCCUAAAUGUAGAUGGUGUUGGGUCACAUCAACAUUCCGUCCAAAAAAUAAGGAAUGGUAACUUAGAAAAUGGAACUAUCACUUAAUGUAUUUGGUAAGCAUAACGUAAUUCGGUAAUUUAUACGUGUGACUACAAACUAAAAUUUCUGUGACAGCUAUAAUACGAAGAAUGUCUCAAAAUCACUCGGACCGACUUAAACAAAUGCUGGUUUUGUCUUUGACAUGUGAAUCCACUAAGGAAAUCAAUAUAGGUGGAAUGGAAAUAAGAAAAAUUGAAUUCAAUGUGGCGGAAAUUGUGGGGAUGAAUUAUUUGGAAAAUUUGAAAUUAGGUAGCGAGUAGUCCAUUAUGAUGAUCGGUACCAACUCAUAAUCCACUGUCCAUAUCUAAGCUUCCAGAAAUUUAUUUCCUUCACUAUUUCCAUACUUUGACAAUUAUUUUUUAUACCAAAACAAUAAUGCUGCACUUAUCUCACCUUUUAUUUUUGUGAACGAGUCGAGUUGUGUUUUAUUUAUGUCGUUUAAAUUCAUUAGAAAUUUGAUUAUAAUCAUUAUUCUCCCUACGACGGUUAGAAUUUUUCUCUCAAGAAUUUUAGAAUUUUUCGGCGCUAAUCGUUAUCGCCGCUCACAGCAUGCUGAGGUACCACUUCGCCGCCACCAUGACCAAGACUACCCCAUCAAUCACUCACUUAAGGGAUGUCGGGUGGCCUGGUAAUAGAAAAUAUUCCUCUAGGGUUUAAGGUACAGGCGAGUCAGCUUGAUGUGACUCGCCCAUCUCUCUAAGGGCUCAGGCUCGGUAGACGACCGGUCGAUUCACUGCAGCGUCUGAAGGCCGGCUACCCCUUUUUUGAAUUACUUUGUUUGUUCUUGGAGUUUUCAGUUUUUGUUUUGUUUUAUUUAGAACUUGUUUUGGAUUGUGUCGGUUUUCCUUUUAGAGUUGGGGUUAAAGUAACAGUAUCCGUUUUGUUUUCUUAGUCGUAUCUAGAGUCAAUUUUGUCAAGGAAGUUUAGGGUGCAAAGCAAAGUAUCUGUAAUAGAUACCUAUUUUUCUCUUGUGACCUGUUUUAGGAAGCGCCGCCUAAUAAAAUUAUUGUGCUCAUAUUUAGUGUCGUGUCUAAAUUAGUUCAGAUGAUUUUUCAGCCUAACGAAGAUCAAUUCAUGGUUGGGUGAAGUGUGAGGAUGCGAUGCAGAUCAGCCGGAUUGUAGUUAGGUGCAUCUUCCGAUGUGCCUCAUAUGUAAGUUACAACUCUCAGAUACCUACAUAUAUUGUACGCGGAUCGUAUUCCGAUGAAUGAAAAACAUGUAUGUCGAUCUGUCUAAAAAAAGAAAUUCGAUUAUAAUUAUAGUUACGUUGUCCUACCAAAGUAGGGUUUUCCCUCUCUUUGUGAGAGUCACGCCGCUCAUCAUCAUGCCAACAAAAAAAUCCACUCAUCCAUCAACCCAAGUAUCCUUAACCAAGAACCCAUCAACGGUAGCAUCCACGACGAUGGUAACCGGUGUUACAGGUUCAGCCGUGGAAUGCGGGAGGUCGAUCUGGAAGGCCUCUCUGUCGGAACCGCUGCACACUCGACAACAUCAAAGGUAGUCUCCACCGACGGCAACAAGCACGACAACCAUGACGAUUACCACACCGAUGCUGACGGUGCCGGACAGGGAACGAGAAGACUAGGUCACGCUCCAAGUGCAAAACCUAAGCCUAACAGAGAGUGACGAUGAAGCAUCUCCGCUGACGGAGCUAAUCCAAGCUCCACCACCACCCGCGUACCCACUCUGUUUAGUUAGCUCGUGUAUGGGGGAUAAACGUAUAACGUUCUCCGCCAUGGAAGAAACUAUGGCUUUUAGCUGGAAGCCAAGAUGCAUUGUGGUGGUUGAGGAUCUGCACGAGGGACGGUAUCUGUUCUAAUUCUUUCAUGAACUUGAUAUUCAAUGAGUCUGAGAAAGAGGCCCAUGCACUACAAUAGGUGUCUCAUGAUUCUGCACGAGCCCGGUUUUGGGGAGGAUCCUAAGCGCGUCGACCUACACGACCUUUCCUGCGGCUAUUUCUCGGAGGCGAUGGGUGCGUUCCUCUUAAAAUUUUGCUAGCACAUAUAUCUUGUAUGACUUGGAAAAUCAUAAACAGUGAAAGGUGAAUGCAUAUAUGCAAAUUCGAGUGGAGCUGGACACCUGCAAACCUCUUCUUGAGAGAAAAAGCAUGUUAAUGUCGUCAGUAAGCAUAAGUAUGAACGACUCCAAACGUUUUUCAAUAUCUGUGGAGUCCAGGGGCACACAGACAAGUACUGCAAUGUUCUCUUCACCACUCCGGCGGACCAGGUUACCGUAAGUGGGAUGUUUUUCUCUGUGUGAAAGAUCUAUCGGAACAAGAUCGUCUUGCUGCUAAGUUGCUCCGUAAGCUCACGAUCAAUGGAGGGGAUCAGGGUGAGUCUAUGAUGGCUACUGGGAAGAAGUCAAACCACGAACCAUCGGUUGGAGGGAAGAAUGCCGAUUGGUCUACAACUUCUGGGGUGAAAAGUGGGACGAGAACAAGCUAGCUAUAGAAAUGUGUAGAUCAGCGCAUCAUUAACGAAUUGGGAACUAUAGAAUUUGAAACUAAGACCUCUGACACGAUGUCAUUAACACAAUUACGUCUCAAUAAUUUGAGUAAUUGAGAGAGGGUUCAAAUUUGAGUUAUAUAUACAAUUCAUUAACCUAUAUUGUGGAUGAGCGAACAUGUAGUGAAGUUGACUAAUAGUUAAAAAUGUGUGGAUGAACGAACCUACAGUGAAGUUUACUUGCUCUAUAGUCUUAUCAGAACCAUCCUGCAUGUUGCGAGUCACAUCGAUACUUUCGAUGAAUUGAGGAAGGAGCUUCGGGAUCAAGUUGCUCGAAUCCACAAUCAGAGCUUUGAACUUCCUUGACGGAGAGAUGGGGGAAGUAUAUUGUUUAGUGAAGGUUGUUGUGGCACCCAUUUGUAAGAAUUGAAGAUUGAGCUUACUUUGGUUUCAAUUUUUUGAUUGUGGGAAUUAGUUGAAUGUGUCUGAAUUUAUAGUAAUUAAGAUUAAGUUUAGUAUGAAACAAGGGCUCGUUUGUUAAAACAAAAAAGAUUCGAACUUAUAUUGUGGAUUUGGGCUUGCAUGAAUGUUUGAUGGGCUUCAUAAAUCACUAAGACCAACGAGCAUCCGAACCCACUUUAACCUAGCUAGUUGAACUUGGUAAAAUGGGCGAGUAUUAAAAUACGGACGACACAAAAUAAAAUAUGAACUAAUAAACUUUUAUAAAAAUACCGGCAUCAUAUAUUGCCAUACUAUUUCAAACCACAACAACACACUGAGGAAAGUAUUAAAAAGAACCGAACCGAAACCACAAACCACGAUUAUGAACUGACUCUUAUUCAAACCGAAACUCAUCCAAACCCAUAUAUAUAUAUAUAUAUAUAUAUCCUUAAGAAGAUGGAUCAGAUUCAAACGUAGGCAUCUGGGUUUUGCUGGAGGUAGUCUUCGACAACCUUGUACAUAGAAGUCGAAGUUUGUUUACCUUGAUUGAUCUCCUCCUCCGUCGGGGCUUCGUCCCCCUUUGUCACGUAAGUCGCCUUCAUUUUGCCGAUGGAUCCGCCGUCCGGUCCAGCUGCGAACUCAACAUCGUACGAUAUGCUCUCUAUUUUCUCAACCUCGUACGAUAUGCUCUCUAUUUUCUCGGUCAGCUGGUCCCCUUCCACCAGGGUGUACUUGUAAAUCAACUUCUCCUCGUCAAUCGCAUCGAUCUUUGUCUUCACAUUCUUCAUCGGCAAACCUGCUAAUUUAGCAAGUCAAUUAGCAAUACCAUAUAGAGUAAAUUGUUAGAAUUUUUAAAAAAUAUAUUUAUAGAAAAUAAAUUAUAUUUAAUGAUUUUGAUUGAUUUAUUUUUAUUGUGUUAUUUGUAAAAAUGAUGAUUAAAAAUUGUUAAUCAAUUACUAGAAUAGAGGAGGUUUAAAAAUUGUUAAAAAAAAAAUGUUAAAUCAACUAAAAUUGCUAAUGCGGCGAUAAAAUUUUGCUAAUUAAUUUAUGGGAUGGGUUUGAUCUAAUAACUUUUCUAUUAAUUACAUGUAUAGAGUGAGGUAAUAUAUAAUAUGAAAACAUUUAAUUUGAUGGGUUUUAAUUACACUAUAUAUCCUAUUUAAUUUUAACAAUUAAAAAUAAUAUUUAAUUAACUAGGGAAAAAAAGAGUAGUUAAUUGAAUUGAAUAACAUUACCUUCUUGGAAAGCGAUGACCCUGAUGGAACCGACCCCACCGUCUCCUUCGACAAGUGAGAUGGACUUGAUGACCUGAGGGAGGAGUUUAGGGAUGAGGUUUUGGGAGUCUCCGACGAGGGCCUUGUAAAGCCUUGACGGAGCCACUGGUGAAACGCUGUCCUCUGAGUAUGUGUGUACACCCAUAAUUAUGGUAUAUUGAUGCACAGUACUAGUACUAGCUGGAGAUGUUGUGUUAUUGUUCGAGUUGGGAAUGGAGAUCAAUGAGACUUGGUACGUACUAUUUAUAGUGACUUUUGAAAGGACAAAGUAAGGCCUCUCUGAUGAUACGUUAUUCACAAAGUUGAUUGCCUUGGGAGGAGAAAUUCCAGUGUCAAACGGAACCCAACAAAACUGCCGCCGGCGAGUAUUGGAUUCAUAUAAGCAGGCUAACGAUUUAAAAUCGGAUGGUAUAUACGUACAAAGAAACGGAACAGUCGAUUGAGAUAUGCUUGGUAUUCUAUUCGGACCCGGCCUGUCCGCCUAUCUUGGUAUGUUUUGUAGUAGGUUACGAUAUGUGGAGAAUAUAACGGUUUUUUCUUACGAUUUUUACUCAUAGAGAAUUACUAUAUCUAAAUAAUUUGAGUGGCUGACUAGAGAAUCUAAUAGGUAUUGCAUUAUUCUUGAACACUCCCUUUAUGAAUGAAAGCAAUUUCGGGAGUUUGAGGGUUUGCAAAGUUUCGGUAAGUUUUAUGGAAUGGAUUGGGGACUACUAAGGUUAAAAAUAGUGAUCCUAAAAAGUUUUGAUAUUGAACAAGUUUAUCUCAAAUAACUCGUGCUAUGAUCUAUUGGGAUUUGAAAUGGAUUGGGGGCUACCGCCCAGGAUUUUAGAUGAUGAUUUUUUUUUACAAUAAUCAAAGAUUAUGAUAUUAUGUCACAAAUCAUUAAAUUUUAAUAAUUUGAAUUAUUGAAAAAGAGAUUCAAUGUAAAAGUUAAUAAUCCCACUUAUGACUCAUCUUAUACAAAAGAAUAGAAAAUAUAUAUUAAAUUCAUAUAUUUUCUGUCUAGGGUAAUUAAACUCAUCUAGGGCAAUUACUUUUUAAAUUACUGACUUGAAUCUGAUCAUGAAGACCGGUGAUGAAGAUUGGGUCGCCGGAUAAUCAUCGGGAGCUCAAAGGAGUUUCGUCCGAAAUUUUUUUAAAUGUUUAUUUUAUUUUUAAUUUUUUUUUCGGAUUCGACUUUUUGACCGUGAAAAUAGAAAAGAUAAAUUAACAUUACAUAACUAUCCAUGCAUAAGGUGUAAUUAAAUUUAACGGUAUCUUUCGAGUGGGUUGUCCUUAACUCGGAUGGUUUAGUUAAUCUAAAAAUAGGUUAAGCAACGACAAGAAGCUUAAUUCAAGAUUCAGAUGGUCGGAUUGUAUCGGCUUACAUCAAUUUGCAUGGGUGUGUGUUCUAUCAUCUAGACUAGAUUAAGGGUUGUUGUGACAUGCCUUCGGAUAGUUUGGAAGAGAGGGUAUCGGAAAGUACAAGUGCAACUCGACUCCCGUUACUUUUUAAAGUUGAUACACAAAGUAUCAGGAGAAAUUCAGCAACACCCUAUUUUCCUAUUUCAUAUACUAUGAUGUAUUUGGUGUUUUUGAAAACAUAUUAAUUGUUAGUGAAGGUUAGAUGUGCUGCACUGAAGGUUUUUUCACACGAAAAAAAUUCAAACAUAAAACCUCCAAAUUAUUAACACACAACUUUAUCACAUAAGUAAUUAAAAUUAAACAUCGACAAAAUUCUUCAUCUACGAAAAUGGAGUAAACCUCGUCACUAAUCAUUUAUAGUUCCCUAAGAGCAUCGGAACUCGGAACUCGACACUGAACAUUUUCAAUUAAACAACACAAAUGAAUACUAAUUAAAUUCAUUCCCGAAUUUUUUGACAGCGUCAUAACCUCUGCAUAUUAUUCUAAAUAAAAAAAAUGAAAUAUACUGUAUGGUGAUAACCUAAGAAGUGUAAUUCGCAUAAUAAAUUAUAAUGGCUCCCACAAUUUAAUGGCUCGAACAAUUAAAUUAUUAAUUUUAAACGAACAGAAUGAUUGUACGAACUACAAAAAUUACAACGUAACCCUUGCUUUUACACAUAAUUUUGAUACUUUAAACGUGACAAUCAUUUGGUGGGGAAAUUAAACAUGGUUAAUUAAUAUUUAGGGCUUUGUAGUUUUGAUUCGGUUAAUUAACUGUCAUUAAUUGUCUCGUCGUUAAUUCUAACGCAAUUCUUUCAAUGAAGGGCUUCGUACAAAUUUAUAUUGUUAGAUUUUCCCCAUUAGCUCACUAUUUCCUUCCUUUGUUUUGCCGCAAGACACUGACGCAGAGUGGUUAUUCUCCCUCACAAAUUCUCCUAACUAGAAUUUGAUCACCAUCGUAUCUUGUUGCUCGAACGUAUUAAAAGUUCGGAAUGCAUUUGUGUUCAACAAUAUCCCGUCGGUAGGAGCACACACAGCAAACAUGUGUAGUAAGAAGUGCCUUAGAAUAAGAGGCUUGCAAUCAGGCCCAUGUUUCUCUACCAUCAUGCAACUCCCCCGCGUGGGUACAAUUCGAUUUAUCCCUUGUUGAGUAACCACAUUAGGGGGUUUUAUUGUGGAUUCCGAAUUUCUAGUUAACGGUUUAUAGUAUCAUCGUUCCAUAUAUUCAUGGAAAGGUAAAGUUAUCGUUUUCCCCGUCGUCUCCGUUUGUUGUUGAAGCGAAAGCUGUUCUUAUCGGGAUGAAAAUGGCCGCCCCCUUAUCCUCUCCUCUAUCUAAACCCGUUGUCGCUCCUUGGUUAGCUAGGCUCGACCUGAAUGGUAUUUCGGAGUCUGGUCACUGGAAUGGUGCGACGACUACAUCUCCAUUUUCCGGACUUGACGAGUUAACCCUACUCACAUCGUGAUAGCUCUACACAAAGCUGACUGGGUUGCUCACAAUGCACCGGCGGGAUGUCUUCCUCAGAUGCCAAAUGUAUCCCCUUUGUAAAAUACAGAGUUUAAUAUCUACUACGUGGUUGAAUUGAACACCUUGACCUAUCCCCUGUUAAGAGAAACAGAAACCCCUGGCAUUUUACCAAAGUCGCUGAAAAUCAAUCAACCAAACCCUAGAACUUCAAAAAUCAAAAUUCCACCAAUUUCUUCAUACUUACCACCCUCAAGAUCGAAGAAUCCGAAUAGACGAAGGAGAAGAAGAAGAAGCCGAAGAUAAAACGAGAUACCCCUUCCUCUCCCUUUCGCUUCGAUUUUCCCUUUUCUUUCGUCGUCCUUCCGCCGCCGCCUCCCAGUGAAAACCCAAUCGAGUUGGGCCGUCAGAGUUCAUCUCGCUGAGUCGUUGAUUCCGAGUUCAACUUUCGUCUCUCGCCCCACUUCUUACUGUUCUUCGCACACUGCUCUUUCUUUCUUUCGCUGUUCGUGUCAAUUUCAUUUUUUCUUCCAUUCGGGGAUUCCUCCGAUUGCCGAUUUAAUUAUAUAUUUUGUUCUGCCCCUUAAUCGGCCGACGGGAAACUGCUCAAUCGGCGAACGGCUUCUCGUCUUCCUUCACCAGAUUCCAUAGCAAUGUCAGGCUCCGGUGGCGUGAAAGUUUCCAGAGCUCGCGGAGAUGCCCGAUUCUAUGUUUCCCCAGGCAUGCGCAAGCCUCAGGAGCAGCAGCAGCAGCAGCAACGGAGCAAGCUGCAGCGCAAUAGCAGCCACCAGAAACAGCAGCAGAAGCAGACGCCAAUUAAUGGUUCUGUUCCUGAUAUCGAUAAGAGGGCCGACGCCGAUCAAUGCCGUUCGUCCUCCUCUUCCUCCACCGCCUCUAAUUGUUCCGCCGUCCCUGAUCGGCCUAUUCCGCAAGGUGUCUACAGCAAUUUGGAUCGGUUCUUGGCGUUCACCACUCCUGCUGUCCCUGCCCAAUUCUUACCCAAGGUAAUAAUUACUAUGUUUUGUGUUUCUGCGUCUGUGUUCUUCAGUGUUUUGAAGUGGUAUGAACUUACUGUAACGAAAAGGUUUUUGGCUGUGGAUGUAUAGAGUAUUUUGGUGUUCGAUGCAUUAGCAACGUGUUUAGAUUAAAAGUUCAGAAUGCAACUUUUUCCCUCCAUUUGUAUUGAAGGUGUACUUGAGAACUGAUUACACUGCCAUUCACGAAUCCUUUUUUUAGUUAACUGCUUUGUAUUGUUACUGCUAAGUAAACCGUCAUCUGGACAGUGACAAAUAGCAUAAUUAUCUCACUUAGGCAUAUACGAGAUACUCUUAAUGAAAUAAACUACGCCUAACAGAUUCAAGUUUCUUGCUUCUGUAGACUAGCCUGAAAGAAUGGAGGCGUGGCGACCUGCACCAACACCCCUACUUUGUUUUGGGUGAUUUGUGGGAGUCUUUCCGGGAGUGGAGUGCAUUUGGUGUGGGUGUUCCCCUCCUUUUGAAUGGUAGCGAGGCAGUAAUCCAGUACUAUGUUCCUUACCUCUCGGCCAUUCAAUUGUAUAGGGAUCCGUCAAAACAAUCCACCAGGCUAAGGUGAUUAGUAUUUUCCUUGUUGUUUCUUGUUUUUGUUGUUUCAAAAUUGAGUUCGGUUCUUGUACCAUUGCAGAAUGGUUCUCUAUGGUGAUAUGUGAUUGGUAAUUGCAGUAGAUUGACUUUGAUGUUAGCAUGUUACUACUUGACAGCAUAGUCGUCCAGUGUCAAGUUGUUAUUUUAAACAAUCUUUCAACCUCUUCGAUCUGCCUUCUUCUGUGAACUUCUUGACGUGUUCUCUUCCUGGUUCUUGUGGUAGUUGGAGUGUUGGCUAUUUUCUUGCAUUAUGGUUGUCACUUGGAAUUUUCCUCAUUAUGAGUUUGUUUAUUCAUGUAAAUUCUGUACCAGGAGAUACUAUAACAAGUUUGUAGAUCUUGUGGAAGUUGGUUAUACUGUUUGUGCCUCAUUUUAGUUAGCUGAGUCUCCUGUUAGACAUGAAUUUUUGCUACAUGAUGAAGUGCCUUGCUGAUCCUUAUUGCAUAUCUAGAAAAAAGUUGUUCUGCUAUUUUUCAGAUAUUAUGUUGAAACGUCAGCCAAGCAGCAGUGUACCUGCAUUCCGGUCAAAAUUUAGUGUCUCUUGCACCGUUGUGAAGUGUUAGCUCAUCAGUGGGAUUCCUUUUGUGUCUCGUUAUAUAUCGUAUCUUAUCUGUGGCAUUUCUUCAUACCUUGACAUAUUUUCUAGUGGUUUACUGAUUAUCUGAUUAUUCUAAAUGUCCAACCUAUUUCCCGUUUAUCUGUAAAGUUAAAAACCACCUCCAGUAACGCACGGAUAUGUCAUUUUUUAGUCAGAACUGCAUUUAUUAAGUUCUAUCAUUGUGCAGGCGGACUGGUGAGGAUAGAGAUGCAGAAUCAUCUAGGGAAACAAGUAGUAAUGGUAGCAGUGAGUUUGGAACAGAUGGAGGCACAAAUAAUGGUGCGAGUGGGCUAUGGAGCCAGCAAAAUGGUAAUGUUGCUAGUAUUCCAAGUCUGAAUGGACUUACUUUGAGACAUAAGCCGUCUAGGGGAUCAUCUGGUGACGAAUGUGAAAGUUCUAGUCCCCCUGUUGAACUUGUGUUUGAGUAUAUGGAGCGUGCCUCACCUUUCACUCGUCAGCCAUUGGCAGAGCAGGUAAGUUCGUAUGGAGAGGAUGCAGUAAAUAUGAAUGUUAUCUAUUAUUUAUAUCCUUUUUUGGUUACUAACUUUUGAUAUCAUGCAGAUUUCAGAUCUUGCUUCUCAGUUUCCAGAACUUCAAACAUUCAAGAGCUGUGAACUUUCUGAUUCAAGUUGGAUGUCUGUGGCCUGGUACCCAAUCUACAGGAUACCUGUGGGUCAAACGCUACAAAAUCUGGAUGCCUGCUUUUUGACUUUCCAUUCUCUGUCAACGCCCUUAACCCCAGAAGGUAUUUAUCUCUUCCUCUGAGGUACUGGGAAUGUGCUUGAUGGUGUCACAGACCGAUGAACGGAUGGAUCAUAUGCUUAGUUCCUCUCCUUGUUGUUUUGGCAGGUCGAAACACAGAUGGAUUUCAACUUCACAGCUCCAGCAUUAAGGAGGUUCAAUGUGCCGACACUUCUAAGCUAGUUUUGUAUAGCUUUGGUCUUGCCUCGUAUAAGUUGAAGGUCUCGUUCUGGGAGCCAAAUGGAAGUCAAGACUGUCAGAAAGCAAGCUCACUUCUUCGAGCUGCUGAUACCUGGCUAAGGCUAUUGGAAGUGAAUCAUCCAGAUUAUAGCUUCUUCGUUUCACACAACUCGGGCUGGAGGUGAAAGUUUCAGGGUAGAAACCUUUUAUUAAGUUAAUCAACUUCUUUGAUCCGGGAAUCAGAAACCCUUACUGAUGCACAAUGUCCAUUAAGGUUGUUGCUUGUUUGAGGGGGAAAAACUAUAUUGGCUUGAUGUGUUUCCAGGAAGCUAAAACUCAUAUGGGUGCUAGAAAGUGUCUGCCUUGGAAUGAAGGGUGUUUACUGUUUAGGAGACAUACAUAAAGGUAUUUCCCCCCCUUUUAGAUUUGAGAAGAAGUUGUGGUCUACUGUGUUGUGUUGCUGGCCUGGACCCUCUUUAUGUCCUGCUCUUAUGUCAUAUAAGGCUAGCAGAUGAUGAUGAAGAAAUAUGAUAAUUUCUGUAUGUACAGUUGUUUAUUACCUGGAACGAAAGAGUUGUAGUUGGUUGGUUGGGGUUUUUUAUGGAUAGUUGAUUUAUGGUUUCAACUUUACACCAGUAUGUAUGAUUUUGCUGUUUUAUGUCUUGUUGAUGAAUUUAUAAUUGAACAAAAAAGAAGUUAGACGUUAAUCCUCCAUCCAUCCUUACUGUCACAAUUAGAUUACCAUUCACUGAAUUGAAUGCAAGUCCCAACUAAAAAAAGUUACUACCUUCACAAGAAUUUUACUGCGUUUAACUUGACAAUCAUUUGGGGGUUAAUAAUCUUGAUUAGGGUUAGGAUCAUUGUGAUGUCUCUCUACCGCAGAUUUUUCAAUCAAGGGCUCGUUUGCUGAUGGGAGUGGGGGUAGGUAGGCUGCUUUUGGCCAUGGUGGGCGGAUCUCGUCGAGAAGAGCUGUCACGGUAAAACUGAUGAAGAAAAGACGCUGAUGAUAUCAGUAAAAAAGACCAAGAUAAUAACCAAGUAAAGAUUUUUUUACGAACAUGAGGGAGAUAGAGAGUAAAAAGCUCUCCCAAGAUUGGACAUUAAGCAUUCUAUCUUAUUAGUUUUUUCAUUUUUAACUUCCACCCAACCAAAGACCUUAACUCAAAUAACGACAUUGUUAUAAAUCUGAAUGCUGUCGGAUGUUUCGUCGUUCGAAUCGAGCUAUCGACAUUAAGAGUGCUCUAUGUUUAAUGUUUUUUUCAAACGUCCACCGAUCACACCAAACCGAAUUGCCAAAUGGAUAACUACAUAAAUACAGUUUAACAAGAUGCAAUUAAUAUCCACCUCGUGGUUGAAUUACCCUACCAAAGUUGCCGGCCGGAAAUCAAUGAACCAAAACCAAACCCUAGAACUUGAAAAUUGAAAUUCCACCAAUUUCUUCAAGCUUACCACCGCAAUUAAUCCAAAACCGAGACUCCGAGUAGACGCAGAAGAAGAAGAAGAAGCCGAAGAUAAAAAAGAGAUACGCCUCUCGUCUCGUCUCUCCGCUUCACACUUUCUCUCUCUCGCUUCAUUUCAUUUUCCCCUUUUCUUUCGUCGUGUAUUCGCCGCCGCCGAGCAAACCCACCCACCCACUCCUCCGAGUUCAACUCUCGUCUCUCUGCAACUUCAUACUGUUCUUCACUCACUGAUCCUUCUUUCUUUCGCUGUUCGUGUCAAUAUCGCUUGGGGAUUUUCAUCCGAUUGCCGAUUUCAUUCAGUUUUCUUCCGCCCUACAUCUGCCCGACGAGAUUUCUCGUCUUCCCUUCAUCAGAUUCCUUAGCAAUGUCGGGCUCUAGUGGGUCUAAAAGUUCCAGAGCCCGCGGAGAAGGCCGAUUUUAUGUCCCCCCCGGCAUGCGCAAGCCUCAGGAGCAGCAGCAGCAGCAGCAACGGAGCAAGCAGCAGCCCCGUAAUAGCAGCCAUCAGAGACAGCAGCAAAAGCAGACUCCAAUCAAUGGUUCUGUGCCUGAGAUCGAUAAGAGGGCUGACGCUGAUCAAUGCCGUUCGUCCUCCUCUUCCUCCACCGUUUCUAAUUGUUCGGCUGUCCCCGAUCGGCCGAUUCCACCAAGUGACUGCAGCAAUUUGGAUCGGUUUUUGACGUACACCACUCCUGCUGUCCCUGCCCAACACUUACCAAAGGUAAUAAUCAAUAUGUUUGUGCUUCUUUGCGUUCUUCACUGUUCUGAAGUGGUGCAAACUUACUAUAAUGAUACGGUUUUUGUUAAUAGUGUUUGGUGUUCGUUCCCCUAGCAACAUCUUAGAUUAGAAGUUCAGAAUGCUACUUUUUUCCCUCUAUUUGUAUUGAAGGUUUACUUGAGAAAUGAUUAGUCUGCCAUUCAGGAAUCCUUUUUGCUAGUUAACUGCUCUGUGUUGUUACUACUGAGUGAACCGUCAUCCGGAUAGUAAUAAAUGGCAUGAUUAUCCAUAUACGAGAUAUUUGUAAUGAAAUAAAAUGGCGAGGUGCUAUUUGUUUGUCGAUGUACAAUGCUAACAGGCCAAGUGUCUUGCUUCUGUAGACUAGUGUUAAAGAAUGGAGGCGUGGUGGAGAGCUGCACCAACCCUACUUUGUUUUGGGUGAUUUAUGGGAGUCUUUCGGUGAGUGGAGUGCAUUUGGUGUUGGCGUUCCCCUGCUUUUGAAUGGAACCGAAGCUGUAAUCCAGUACUAUGUUCCGUACCUCUCUGGCAUUCAAUUGUAUAAGGAUCCAUCAAAACAAUCCACCAGGCCAAGGUGAUUAGUACUUUCCUUUUGUUUCUUGUUUCUUCAAAAUUGAGUUCUGUUCUUGUACAGUUUGCAUAAUGGUUCUCUAUGGUGACAUGUGAUUGUUAAUUGCUGUAGAUUGACUUUGAUGUUAGUAUGUUAUUACUUAACAGCAUAGUCGUCCUGUGUCUAGUUGUUAUUUUGGUUAAUCUUUCAACUCUUUUGUUAUCUUCUUUAUCUCUUUUUCGUUCUGCCCUCUUCUGUGAACGUCUGGUUCCAGUUGUAACUGGAGUGUUGGUUGUUUGGUUGCAUCAUGAUUAUCAUUUUGGAAUUAGCCGCAUUAUGACUUUGUUUAUUCAUGUAAAUUCCGUACCAAGAGAUAUUGGUACUAAGUUUUUAGAUCUUGUGGAAGUUGGUUAUAUCGUUUGUCUCAGUCUUAGUUAGCUGAGUCUCCUGUGACACACGAACUCUGACAUGAUGAAGUGCCUUGUUGUUCAAAAUUGUAUAUCUAGAAAAAAUUCGUUCUGCUUUAUUUAAGAUAUUAUGUUCAAACAGCAGACUAGAAGCAGUCCACCUGCAUUCCAGUCAUAAUUUAUUGUCCCUUGCUUCUUUUUGAAGUUCAUCAUGUUAGCUCAUCAGCAGGAUUCCUUCUGUGGAAUUUCGUUAUGGCUUGGCAUUUUUUCUGGCAGUUUACUGAUCAGCUGAUUAUUGUAAAUGUCCAACCUAUUUAUCAUUUUGUCUGAAGUUAAAAACCACCUCCAGUAACACAGAUAUGUUGUUUUUUUGGUUUAUAACUGCAUUAUUAAGUUCUAUCAUUGUGCAGGCGGGCUGGUGAGGACAGUGAUACAGAAUCUUCUAGGGAAACAAGUAGUGAUGGUAGCAGUGAGUUCGGUACAGACCGAGGUACAAGUAAUGGUGCAGGUAGGCUAUGGAGCCAGCAAAAUGGUAACGUUGCUAGUAUUCCAAGUCUGAAUGGACUUACUUUGAGACAUAAGCCGUCCAGGGGAUCAUCUAGUGAUGAAUGUGAAAUUUCCAGUCCCCGUGGUCAACUUGUGUUUGAGUAUAUGGAGAGUGCCUCACCUUUCACUCGUCAGCCAUUAGCAGAGCAGGUAAGCUCAUAUGCAGUAUAUGAACCUUAUCUAUCAUUUAUACUCUUUUUUGGUCACUGACUUUUGAUAUCAUGCAGAUUUCAGAUCUUGCAUCUCAAUUCCCAGAACUUCGAACAUUGAAAAGCUGCGAACUUUCUGAUUCAAGUUGGAUGUCUGUGGCCUGGUACCCAAUCUACAGGAUACCUGUGGGCCAAACACUACAAAAUCUGGAUGCCUGCUUUUUGACUUUCCAUUCUCUGUCAACGCUCUCAACCACAGAAGGUACGUAUCGUUUCCUUUGAGUUGCCUGGGAAUGUGCUUAGUAGUGUCAUAGAUGUAUGAAUGGAUGGAUGAUGAUAGGGGAUUUUGUCUCCAUGUCGUUUUGCCAGGUAGAAACACAGAUGGAUUCCAACUUCACAGCUCCAGCAUUAAGGAAGUUCAAUGUGCCGACACUUGUAAGCUACUUUUGUAUAGCUUUGGUCUCGCCUCGUAUAAGUUGAAGGUCUCAUUCUGGAACCCAAAUGGAAGCGAAGACGGUCAGAAAGCAAGCUCACUUCGUCGAGCUGCUGAAACCUGGCUAAGGCUGUUGGAAGUGAAUCAUCCAGAUUAUAUCUUCUUCGUUUCGCACAACUCAGGUUGGAGGUGAAAGUUUCAGGGUAGAACUUUUUUAUCAAGUAACCGACGACUCCUUUGAUCCAGGAAGAGAAAACCCUUAUUGAUGCACAAUGUCUAUUAACGUUGUUCCUUGUUUGAGGGGGUUGGUUAUGUGCAAAAAGACUCAAAUGGGUGGUAGAAAGUGUCUGCCUUGGAAUAAAGGGUGUUGAAGAUACAUACAUAAGGUACGCCCCCCACUGUGUUUUAUGUCACUGCUGUUAUGUCAAAUUAGGCUAGCAGAUGAUGAAGAAAAUUGUGUAUAUACAGUUGUUCAUUACCUGGAACGAAAGUAGUAGUUGGAUUGGAUUGGGUUUUUCAUGGAUAGAUAGUUGAUUCCAUGGCUUAAUGUAGUAUUAUGAUUUAGCUAUUUCUGCAUUUAGUUAUCACUUGAUUCUCAUACACACCUUAAAUGGACAUUAUACAAACGUUCACAUAACCAAACCAAUAUAUUGAUAAGAAAAGGUACAAGGGUAUUACAUAUGAAUGCAAUCUUCACGUACAUAUAGUUUUUUGAUGAUGUGUCUUACUGUCCAAUCGUUCAUCCAUUACCAACUAUAAUGUCAUGGUAAAAAUUAUAACAAGACAAUCAAAAUUAUUACUAUGUUUAGUCAUCUUGGAUACGCGUAUGAGACGGUUAUUUCGAGCAAGACUCGCAGGUGGUGCAGAGUGGCUUGCGGAGUAAUGAUGAGGAUGAUACAAAGUUCGGCAGCAUCAUAUCUAUGUCUAGUCAUCUUUUUUGGGCUUAGGAUUUUGAAUUUCAGUGGGUUAGUAGGGUAAGGAACGCAGCACGGCGAUCUCAGUUCCAUGCAUCUUCGUUUGUCAGGAAUGCACCUUCUGAUUGGCUGAUUAGUUCACACAACAUUGAUAACAAACAAAUGAUUUGUUUGAGAGUAAAAUAAUAAUAAUUUAAAUAAAGAUCGAUAUGUAUUGGAUCGAAAUGAACCCAACUCGAGUGGUUGUUCAUUGGUUUUGGUUGGCCAAAAAUCAGACUCACUUUGCGGUUGGACCCUUUUCCACUAUAAUGCGACCAAAUUCAUAAACACAAGAAGAAGAACAUUCAUGGAUGGCAUUCUUACGUAAUAUCUUUAGAAAAAGAGGACCACAACUGGAAAGUACAGUCAUCCUAAUUCCUAAGGGUUUUCAGCUAAACCAGUAACAGAACCAUCCGUGGAGUUGGUGGAGAAAGAACUACCCUCUCUCUCCUCCUCCUCCUGCUCCCUCUCUCACACUAUCAAUUUCCAGGUUCGUUUAGAAUUACGUUUCUUCCCCAGUUCUCGUUCGAAUUCGAAGAUUCUCCCCAUGAAUUCACCCCUGGUUUCACUUCCUUUUUGCAGUCCGGCGAUCAGCUGAAGUCAGCCCUUCCAUUUCGGGUUCCGAUCGGAAUUUGCUAGCUCAAUUUCGUCUAAUGGCUUCCGAUACCUGGAGCUCUCGCUUGUCCGCUUCUUCUCGUCGUUACCAAAUGAAGCCCAGUGAGUCCAAAUAUCUCAAAUACUUUACUUCUUUUUUCCAGCAGUGAGUGCUGAUUCUGAUAUGUUCUGUGGGCGGGGGUUUUAUUCUCAGAUGUAUUUGAAGAAGCGGACGUAGACGAUGAUCCCAAAGCUGAGUUCAUGUGCCCUUUUUGCGCCGAGGAUUUUGAUGUAUUGGGGCUUUGUUGUCAUGUGGACGAGGAGCAUCCUGUUGAGACCAAAGAUGGGGUAUAUAUCCUCAUACAUAACUUUCUUCUUCAGUGUUUAUUUUGUGUUGGUUUGAUUGAUCUUCUUUACAGUUUCAACAAACAUUGCUUGUUGGAGACUAUAUAGCUUAUGAAUUAGAUUUUUUUGUUCAUGGUAGUCUGUUGAAUACUGUUAAGAUAAUGUCUUCAUGUGGCUUCUCUGUACUGAUUGAAUCACUUACAUUUGUUUUGAUUGAAUGCUUACUGCAUUGAUUUCUUAAAAGUUCAUCCAUGGGGUUUAAAUCUGAUCCUUGUGUUUCUCACUGUCCAAUUUGUGUUUGGCUUCAGGUUUGCCCUGUGUGUGCUAAAAGAGUGGGAAUGGAUAUUGUUGGCCACAUUACUACGCAGCAUAACAGCUUCUUUAAGAUAUCCUUUCACUAGUAGUCUCUUUAAACAUGCUGAAUUUAACAUCUCUUUCUCAAAGGAUCUAUCUUUGCCCUGAAUACAAACCUUAUCAUACUAUUCUGACCCCUAUAUUGUUCCGUAUUGUGCUAAAUGGGGAUUCCUUGACUUAAAACGUUACGUGCAGCGCAAAAGAAGAUUGCGUAAAGGCGGAACAAACUCGACAUUGUCGAUAUUGAGGAAAGAACUCCGUGAUAGCACCUUACAGACUCUCCUAGGGGGAUCUUCAUACUUGAUUCCCAGCUCAGAACCAGAUCCGUUGCUUUCGUCAUUCAUGUUCCAUCCGUCCGUGGUUGUUGAGCCUUGGAGUGUUCUACCCGCUGAAACAAGUCCAGCAAAAGAGUGCACCAUCGAUGAAUCAGUAAUGAGGUAUACCCCCUACCCUGAAAUGCUUCUUUUUGAUUCAGUUUGUUCUUGAGCUUAGUCUUUGGCUCUGGAGGCUCUCUCUGCAUAAUAUCAUAGCAGUUAUUACUAUGACAGGGAAGCAUCGGUAUUGGCAUCGGCAUCGGCAUCGGCAUCGGUGGUUUGGGAUGAGGAGCAGGAGGAGAAGUAUCGGAGGUGUGAGUUUGUCAGAGGGCUGACGGUGUCCACCAUUCUUGAUGAGUUAUAAGCUGUUAUUUUGUCGUCUGCAACUUUCUUUCAGAUAUGGCAAAUGAAGUGGGGAGGCGAAUAACAGCCAAUAGUGUCCAUUUCAUUACCCAUCUUUCAAUGUACUCCAGUGGCCAGGUGGCAACAGCUGUACUUGCCAACGUGUAUACUAUAAUAAUAAUAAUAAUAACAACAUUUAAUUGUUAUGGUCUGGUUCCUUAAUUAAAUCGAUAGUCCCGAGUGUACAAAGUGAAGAUGACUCAUAGAUGCCUAGAUGUCUCUCAAAGGACAGUUUUUUUUCUAAACCCUAAUUUUCCUUCACCGUCGCUACACUAUGACACCGUCUCCAUUUCCCUCCCCUGCCAUCACUGCCGGAAUCAUCACACUCACUACCAUGGUUAACUCAAGGGACCUUUAGGAUAUUUAUUAGGAUAUUUCUUUCGCCUAUUUAGUGUAAUGAGCAGUUAUGCAAGCAUUAUGAAGAUAUGUUAUUUUGAAAAACGUAUGGCAGGUGUUGGAAAUGAAAGGUUGAACGGGAGUGAUUUAUGUUUUGUAAGUGAAAAGGGUUACAGGUAUUUCGUCAAACGCCUGCUUUCAUGAGACAGCUGCUAGCUGGACGGCCUUGGGGUGCUUUUCUGUAAGUGUGUGACUGAGAGUCGGUGUGAAAUUGCUUGUUACAGUAUUCGAUUUAAUAAUGGGAUUCGCUGUGUUGAUGCUUACGUUAGAAUAUUCCUUAACCAUCUCGAGGAGGAAGUUACUUUGUUGACCAUUGGAAACUGCCAACCCAACUGGAAGGGUCUAUGGACUUGGCCAUGGAGUCAGAAUGUGCCUUCCUCUCCAAGAGUGAAAACUGACAACUUGACGUCCUAUGCUGGCUCGGAACUUCAACAGGCGCAUUACAGCCAGAAAACAACAAGUAAGGUGGAAGAACUCUAAUUCCGCCGAUACAAUUGAGGGAGGCCACGCUCCUACAAACUUGAUACAGGCAGGUCAACUAGCCCAAGGCGACCCGCCCAACUGCAUAGAACCAAGCGGGGGUUGUGGAGCACCGACCAACUCAGGCAACACAACUCCCAUGGGUGCCAACAUGGUGUCUUAGUCCUUUGUCGUUUUGUUACCUGGUUAGACUAUCUAUUGGCCAGUUGUUGGUUUCUUUUGCUUCGUUUUGUUUGUGUCGUGUCGCAUGUUGGUUCUGGUUCUUCAAUUCCUUCCGUCAGUUGCAACGUUUGUUCAUCGAGUUUGUUAUGUUUGAUCCGUAUGAGCUCGAUGUGUUUGGCGGCAUUGAGGAGAGCUAGGCGGCGAAGUUAGUUAACUAUCUGAUUAAUUACUUCUUCCGUUGUAACCCGACUUAUGGGUUGCACCUCCCGAUUUACCAUCAUACAGUAUAUACGAUGUUCACACUUUAGUUAGGAAAUCCUUUUUUCAUGCAUCUUUGUUUGUGGGGCAUGCACCUCUCAUUUGGACUCAUAGAUGUACUUGAUACUAACUGCCGCCGCUCGAUUGAGAUGAGAUUUAAGUUUACUAUUAAAAAAACAGCGUUAAUGGAUUCGAAAAUUAGGCUAGAUUUUGGUUUGCGAAAAUGUGUCCAUGUCCUGAAAGUUGAUACCCUCUAGCGUGGUUAUCUCUUUAGUUUUUAAAAUGAAAACAAGUGGGCUAAUUCAUAAAAUGGGUCAGAGAAGCUGGGCCCAAACAAAUAACAGCCCGCUAGAGAAUAAGGUAGGCUUGUACGUACCAGGAUUGCCAAUACUUUAUUAUCCUAAUUGCUAAAGGCUUCAGUUCUCACCUGUCAUUUGCUUACGAGAAACGAAACAAAAAUACAGAAGACGAGAAAGGUAUUGAGGAUGGGAGAACCACAGAUGAUGGUCGAUCAAGAGCUGGUUCAUGAUGAAAAGAGGCAGAAGCUGAUGAGGCCUUGCUGUUUUCACUUGUCCUCCGAAUUAGGGAUUUCUUCAACUGUUUCCCAAUCUAUCAUCGAGUCAGUAGUUUUCAGUUUCCAACUUGUUGGGGGAUUUCUCUGCAUAUCGGUUUCUUGAAUGUUCAGGACUUUCGAUUGUGUGUUGUAUUUCGACCGUCUGAUUCACUUUCUCUGGGUUCCAGAAGUAAAGGAGUUUGUUGCGAGAGGAUGGCGAAUCUCAUAAUCGUUCAUAGAACAAUACUCACAACGUCCUGCAUAAACAAAGAUCCAUAUCAUUAGCAGCAACUGCUGGCGUGAACUUAAUGAUUUUCAACUCCACAAAACCAUAAAAAAACAGACAAAAACUCAAAGCCAAUUUCAGACCGACAUAUAGGGUUCAUAAGAUUACCACCCUUUUCAGCAGGAUCAACGAUGCUCCAACAACUGAUGUCCAGCCCAAACCCAUCCUUCUUAUACACUGCCUCAGCAAAAAACAUUUCAGCUGGAGGCCUUUCCCCGGAGCUUUUGUCUGAUUUCUUUAUAGCAGUAAAGUUUCCAUGCAUGAAACCCUUACGAUUUGCAAAAUCAACAAAAUUGCAAGUGGGCAUGGUGCUCUCAAGCUCAUAAUGGACACCCUAUCACCAAAUCAAAAUCAGAUAAACACAGAGCACAAGGUUUAGUUAUAUUGAGACUCUCAUGAGUAACCAUUCAACUAGAGAAACAAAACAUCCGUAAAAGAGAAAGGAAAACCAAUACCUUGUUCUCCAAAUAGUUCAAAGUCGCUUUUGCAAGUUUUUUUCGUAGCUUUUCAAACAUCUCUUUCAUAGCUUGAGCUUUCGAUUUACCCUUCCAACUGCAUUUUCAGGAUCAAACCGAAAGUAUUAGAUUGAAUUCAUACAAACAGACAGUCAGAAUCAUCAAAAUAAACGAACAAACUGAAACCAAAGGAAGUGCAAAGGGGAAACACAAAUUAAACACCGUUAAGCAAGUAGACGUGCACAAUUCCGGCUUAAACAAACAGCAAAUGUAUGGAGUCACUGACGAUAUACAAUACAAGACUGCCAAAACAAGAAAACCCUAAUUCCUAUGAUGACGUUAGAAAGAAGAUAAAUCCACAAGUGAAAAUUUACGGUGGGUGCUGCGGAGCUUGCUUGUUGAACAACGGGAUAAUAAUCUCCCGAUCCACCACCGUCUGCGUUUCUUCGAUCUGCGGCUCUCCCAUCGGCUUCUUUUGGUUCUCCCGUCGAUCUAUUUCUCGAUCUACUGGCCUGGCCCGACUAAAUUAGCACUGUUUAAAGAUACAACCGUGCCCUAUUUAUAUUCUAAAGGAACCAAUACAGUGCCCUAUUUAUAUCGAGAAAAGUACAACAGUUUUUUGUUUCUCCCCAACUUUCGACCCGCACAAAAUAGAAGCAAAAAAAUAAACAUUACAUAAAUUUUAGUACGUUAAUUAAUAGCGGAAGACAAAGGUGUGGGGGGCACCAUGUCAGCUGCCUUAUCACUGACCCGUACAUUCCGUGGGCAUUCGAUGUAGCGUCCACGUUGAACAUACCUUUCGCUGCUCUGGACUCAGUGUUACGCGUCUUUCUCGGCCCACUACUAUUACAACCGUAACCUCGCCCCGUUCCCCACGCGGGAUGACCCUGAAUCCAACGUCGUACUGCCCUGCAUGCCGGUGUUGAAACACGACGAGAUCCCGACCUUCCUCCACCCUACCACCUUGUUCCCGCCCCUCCACUCAACAAUCGUCUCCCAGUCCAAGCUUCUACAGCCGUCGCUGCGCCGUGUUUCAUAAUUACGCCCAGUUGGAUAAGCCCACAUCAUCCAACACCUUUCCUUGGCUUCAGCUGGACUUCAGCCCGCGUUUCCUACACCGUCUGAAUUUUGGCGGGUACAGGUAUAUACUUUUCUCAGUCUUCCUUUCAAUUCCCCUUUCGCAUGAUGUAACCUUUAUCAUCAACCUUGACUUACUGUACUGUAUCCUUCUCAUGACUGAAACUGACACAAGGUCUUCUAAGGUUGAAAUCGAAGAUUCAGGGGUCGAGUGGUUGUGGCGUCAAUGUGAAAUCUUAGAUAUUCAUAGUUGCUUGAUACAUGUUGCAAAGAUACCCUGUGGAGAAAGGAACAAGACGAGCACUACAGAAACUGUACUACAACAGAAACAUGGGAAGAUAGCGGUAUGGCUCCGUAUCCAAAAGGCUGUGUGCGCAACAAGUCCACACCUGCAAUGUCAAGAUGCUCAAGAUGGCAUAUGCCCCCAAGGGCGGCUACAUCAAAUGUAAUAUAGGUACAGUUCAGAAAAUCACAAAAGGGUACGUCAAAAUACAUUCAUUAAUAACCAUUUUUAAUUACUUAAAAGGGGUACCAUCAUCCCGGCCAGCCACCCCUACAUCCACUCCCGGUCCGAGAGGUCAACUUUAAACCAUACUGACUAACCGUGCAAAAAGAAAAGACUUUUAACGGCCUCGUUGUGCCAAAAUACACUACUACAUCAUUUUAAUUAGUUACCAUAAACUACUAGAAGAAGAACUCAGGUUCUGAAUCGUCAGAAAAAUCAUUCAAAGGCUGAGGAUCAUCACCCGAAGAAUACUCGUAGUCACAAUUAAUGUAGUCCUCUUCAUCAUACUGACCAAGCACAUAGCUUCCGGCUGGAUGGAGGAUCGGGAUCGUGUAUCCUUUCGAGCACGCUGAACAGCUCUUGGAAAUGUCUGCAACCACCAUCAAGGAUCCAUUAGCACGUUUACUCAACUUAAUUUACCAAUUUCGUAGAAAAAGAUUGAUCGUCAAUGACAUGAACAACAACCUACGAGAUACAGAUAGUAUAUAAAACUAUGUAUAUAAUAUAGCCAUAUAAACCAAUAUUCAUAAGAAUAUGAAGAGUACAAAUUUAAGCCAACUAAAUGAUGAAAAUACAAGAUAACCUACGAGAAUUAAUUCACACUUACUAGUUUUAUCAGCAGGGUUAAAAGUCACAGUGGCCCUAACCGACCAUUCGUCAAAUAGCUGAUUAUAAGUUACCUCCGAAAAGAAAUACUCAAUCUCAGAGCCAUCAUCUUUCUUAGCCGUAAAGUUGACAUGUACGACAUAAUUAGACAUACGAUAAAAGCCAUUGCUGUUCGAGGGAUGAACAAGCGUGUAAGAUAUACCCUGAGAUCAAACCCAAAUUAAGAAAUCAGAACCAGAGCCAGGUGAGUAAACAGAGACGGUUGAUAAUUGGAAGAAAACUAAACUACCGUCAUUCGUUGGUAGCACUCCAAACUAUAUUCAGCAGCUGCUUUGGUUUGCUCACUAAGAUAUUUUUUAUGAGUGGCAUCAUCCAGCUGAUGGGUGGCUUCAUUCAGCGUAGGACUACGAGAACUGCAAAUUCAAAUGUUAAAAGACGCAUAAGCAGGACAUUCCAUAUCAUUCACCAGAAAUACAAGGGGAAUGUUGAUUCAAAGGGAUCAACGAAUAAGAAAGGUUAAAAAUAUCGCAACAGAAGUCCGACCUCCAUUAGGAGCAGUAGAAACCCCAAUUCAAAAUCGUCAACCUGGGAAACACAACGUUUUCAAACAGACGGUCGAAAUGAAAUACACAAUUGAAAGUCCUGAGCAUACAAAAAUCCGACAUGCAGAGAAAACCCCCAAACAAGUUGGAAACUGAAAAUCAUUGAUUCGAUGAUAGAUUGGGAAAACAGUUGAAGAAAACCUAACUCGAAUGAAAAGUAAAAAAAACAUUUCGAUUAAAUAUAAAUAUUAAAUAUUAAAUAUUCUCUGGCCUUUUUAAUGAAUUGGACUGGACCACGUUUAUUCAAACUAACGACAUAAAUUAGCCCACCAGCCCACUUUUUUAUGAAUCAGGCCACGCGUCUCUCCGACAUACUGGGACGAGUUGGUAGUGCCUGGUGCGAGAUCCAGGGUGCGGUGUUGUAGCCUUAUAAGGUACUAGAUGGACAGAUUCGGUUCAACUUGAUUGCUAUGUUUGAGAGCUUAUGCACGUUCGUAAUGUUUGUACCUAGUGUUUUUGAAAGGUAAACAUUAAAGGUGAUAUAGAGAUGGUGUUGACGCGAUUAUCUCAAAGGACAAUUCGUUAUGCAUGGAAACUUCAAGGUUAUAAACAAGUCGUCAGACAAAAGCUCGGGGAGAGGCCUCCAGCUAUAAAUGGCAAGCCGAAAUUACCCUAAACGUAAAGGACUUCACUACAACAAUAAAUACGAGAUGGUAAGUAGGAGAACACCGACCGGAUCCGACGACUCCUUUCCUCAUUUUGUUAAUUUCUAACAAAUGGGCUAAUUGGGCUUCCAAAAAGCCCAGCCGACAUUGCUGGUGGGGCAGGUUUGAAAGACACAAAAAAGAAAUGAACUUGGGUAAUAAAAACAAAAAGUUACCAAGUCGUCAUUGGGUAAGCGGAUUGAGGAUAAGAUUCCUGAAAAGCUCGGGUGGGGGGGGAUUUGUUGCUUUUUUAUUCGGUUUGCUUACUUUAAAUUUUAUCCGCUGUAAAAAUAAUUUUGUUUCUACUCUGGAGUAUGAAUGAAUGAAUGAACCUCUGGGUAAGCACUAUCAUGUUCAUAUAUAGAAGAAGAGAGAUCACUAGACAAGUACAAGUACGUCACACCGCCCAAUCAUACUGAAUUUUCCCCCAAAUUAUUUGUGUACUACUACUACUACUACUGCUAAGUUCAUUGAAUCUGCACCUAAUCCUAAUACUCUUGUUCAAUUGCAUGUAAUUGUAUCUGCAAUAGUGCAUGAUUUCAAUGUCAGAAUUAUCGGACAAACGAAAUUUCAAUAUAAUCCAUUAAUUAUUAAAUUUGACGAUCUUCAAGAUAUCAGUAAUGAGAUUCGUUAGAGCGUGUGCAUGUCUCGUCCUGAUAUUGUCUGGAUAUUUUUUUAACAAAAUCCAUAAAGAUACAUCAUAUGAAAGAAAAAAAUAUAAAAAAAAUCCCGAAUGUAGUCAAAUUCACGACGAGGCACCAUUCAGUUUGACGAAUGAAUGCAUACCUUAUACCUCGCUCCUGGAUAGUUUGGUCUGAAACAUGAUAACAAACUAGCUAGUUGGGAGUUAUUUUUUAAACAAAAACGUAAAUACUGUUGUUAUUGCAGGUACAGCUAAUUAAGAUGUGUAGUUAGUGACAAGUUGCCUUAAUUAAUUAAAAUGGGUUAAAUAAACAAGUAUGUAUACAUAUGGUAGUGAGAGUCUCAAUACUCGAGCACUCACUACCAACAUUACAUCCCAUCUCUCUCUCUCUCUCUCUCUCUCUCUCUCUCUAAUCCUGUAACAGCUCAGUUUAUAGCUUUCAACAACGUGAGCAUCAUUCAUUGCAUCGUGCAAUUAUUAUUUGUCUUUUCAUUUCCUUCAUUUAAAUUUGCAGCCCUAGUCUGCACCAUGGAACUAUAUGAUCUACUCGGAGGCAGUGGAUCCCACCGGCGGUGGGUGGAGCAAAACGGCACGGACCACGUGACCGUCUGGUACCGAGUUUUGGAAAGGUCGUCUAAAACGUCACGUCUGUAAGCUUCCCCGCCGACGUGGAACUCGUCGGAAGUGGGUUGGCCGGUCCCCCACCCACUGUCCUCCCACUUCAAUUAUCAUAUGAUACGUUCCCAAAUCAUUGAUAUUUCUCUGUUCUUCACGUACUUUGAGCUGUUAUAUGCUGAGAUUUACAAUUACAUAGUGAUCGUAUGUUAAAAAGUUUUCAGUCCUGUUACGGACUUAUUUGUACAUAAGAAAAAAGUUAUGAUACAGGUUGCCUAUAUCAUGCAAUAUGCGGGGAGAAGGAUGCAACCAACAAUGAACCCGAACAUCCUCAAAUAGUCAAACUGGAACAUGUCCAAAUUCAGUAACAUAGUAUGACAAGUUAUUGCGAACACAAAUUAAUGGAAGCGUUAUAAUUCUGCUGCAACCAGACCCGAACUAGAGUCGAUUAUUAAACCAGUUUAGACUUCAAACCGUCUGGUUUGUAGUUUCUGUUUUGUAGGUGAAUGAAACGCGGGGUUUUGAUUAAAUGGACUAUGAUAUAAACGCUUAAUAGCUGAUGCAGAGUGUCAAAAAAAGCUAAUACACAACACGACCCUAUUGGCUAACACUUGUAAAUAAUUACAAGAAAUAUGCAUCUCUUUAAUUUGUUCUUGGGAAGCUAAUCAUAGCAGCUAAUUAACUAGCUAGCAAAGGUCUCUCUGCGUAGAGUAUGGGUUGUAUAACAUGAAACAUACGACAUUGUUUGGUACAUAAAAUCAGGAUCUCUCCAGUACAUCGGUUUUGUCUGUAGCCAUCUUUAGCCACAAUUUUUAUAAUCUCGUCCAAUCCUCCAGUAUAUUAUUUGUUGAUAACAAUUAGUAUAUUAACAUAACUAACUAACUACAAAGAACAUGAUCAUCUGGGACGUACGAAUAGCUAUUUAACUCACAGAAAAUUACUUAGUAGAUUGCAACCAAGGGGAGUUUUCUUUAUGGUGAGAGGAUGAAAAUUAUUUAAAUUUUAGAUCAUUAAUCUCAACCUUUGAUCUUGAUCUUUUAAGUGUGAAAAUAAUUAGUUCAUAAUUAAUGAUUCUCUUUUUUUAAUUGAUANNNNNNNNNNNNNNNNNNNNNNNNNNNNNNNNNNNNNNNNNNNNNNNNNNNNNNNNNNNNNNNNNNNNNNNNNNNNNNNNNNNNNNNNNNNNNNNNNNNNNNNNNNNNNNNNNNNNNNNNNNNNNNNNNNNNNNNNNNNNNNNNNNNNNNNNNNNNNNNNNNNNNNNNNNNNNNNNNNNNNNNNNNNNNNNNNNNNNNNNNNNNNNNNNNNNNNNNNNNNNNNNNNNNNNNNNNNNNNNNNNNNNNNNNNNNNNNNNNUAAACAUCAAUUAAAAAUAAUAUUAUAUAUUAAUUAAUUAUCUAUUCACUAAAUUAAAAUGGAAAAUAUUAAUUAAUUAUUUAUACUGUACUAAACUAUGGAUUGGUGAACGGAGUUAAAAAAUUGGAGGGUAAAAAUAAAUGAGGAAGAAUGAGUGAGGGGGUGACAGAUGGGAAAAUGACAAAACACACACUCUCUCUCUCUCUCUCUCUAUCUCUGGGCUCUGCAGUCAGCACCAAUAGCCAAGAUGUAUACAGAGAGAGAUGAAAACGAAAGGAUAUAAGCCAAAUGCAACCUUAUCUAACCCACGGCGUCACCACACGACACGUGUCUCCCCAGGGGAACUGAAAGACUUUGAGUGUGGGAUUGAAAUGGAAGGCCUCUCUGAUCAUAAAUAACAACAAUAAUAAUAAUGGAGUGGAGUUGUGACUCAUGACUUGGAAAAAGUAAGCCAAAUUUACAAGAUGUUCGGGUAAACAAGUAAUUGACAAGUAAAAAGCCUGCUGUAAUUUAUUAAAAAUUGUGAACUGAUUUGUCAAAAAAAUAUCUAUCAAAAAAUCGAUCAUUCGAAUUUUAGAAGUUUGUGUAGUUAGACGCCAGGGAUAACCCUAACGAGCGACAGCUGCCCUAUGGCCUUGUUCGAUAGCUUCAUCAACACGACCUUCCUCCUGUUAAGAGGCACCCCUUAUGUAGUUGAAGGUGUUUUUUUGUUUUUCAAUUUUUGUAGUUUCCUCUUUCUCUCGCCCCCUUCCUUAAUUCGAUUUCGAUAACGAUGACUCUCCUCUCCCAACCAACCGCGAUAACGAUCGGAGCUCUGACAAUGAUCCCUAUUCAUCCACUCAACGACGCUAUAAAACGAGUGUUGCAUAAUUUUGAGAGCCUCCUCAAGGUGCUCAAGGUAUCUAGGAAUAUCCGAAAUUUUUUGGCACCGACAGGUUUGUUCAACGAGUCCUGUCAGGAGGAGUAAUUCAUCGACAGGGACUCCCUCGGAGCUUCUGCCCCUCUCGACGUUUGAUGUUUUGGGUGUCCCCAAUUCGUGCUCCAACGGUUGUUUUUUAUUUUCCUUAUCUUAAUUGUUUUGUUUUCUUUGAACUCGUUUGGUAGUUUUUAGUGCUUGGGUUAUAAGUCUCGUUCAAAAUAUUUUUUAUUUAAAAUGACUGGUACCACGAAUGUAUUAGCAUUAGUUAAUUUUUUGUGUCACUGAGUUUUACCUAUUAUGUGUGAUGAGAUGAGCAUAUGUCGGCAAGAUUUUUAAUAAUAUAAAUAGCUUUUUUCGAAGAAAAAAAAAAGUAAUUUAUAUAGUUAGUUGUAAUUGACUAAAUUUAUAAGGGUUAACCGCAACUCUUAAUCGAGUUAGGGUUAUUGGGAGGCUAUAAAUAAGACCAUGAAUGUACUGUAGAAAGUUGGACUUUUUGUAUAAAACUCAGUAAUAAUAUUGGGUGGUAAGAGGUGUCUCGUAUCUAUAGACUAGUCUCAAUAUUAAUAUUGAAAAAAUCACGUAAAUUUCAUCUUUUCUCGAUUAUGCUUCUGUGCUCUUGACAUCAACUCGGAAUCCCCACUUCAACGCAAUUAAAAUGUACACAUCAUCAUUUUGUAUUGACGCUGGAUCUCCAUUCCCCAAUACUAUGUUCCCGGGCCAGUAACGCGAUUACGAGAAAGAUGCGUUAAUUUGUGUGUUCCUGCGGGUUUAAUUAAUUAGUGGAAAGCUUAACCAAACUCCACAUACACUUCUUCUCCUUUUAUUAUUCAAAGUCUGGUGUUUAUCUUAAGCGUGACAAAACUAUCCAUUACGGCAACGUUUCAUUAUUUGUUUUUCAAGGAUGGAGUUAGUUCUUCUUCAUCUUCUACUCCAACAUUAUUAACUUAAUUAAGAUCAACCGUGCAUGUAAUACCAACAAAAACUAACUCACGUCAUUAUCAUAAUCGAGGAGGAGUCAUAAAUCCAAUGGCAGUGAUCAAUUUUAUAAUUAUCUACAAAUUAAUAUUUACAAACGUAGUGUAUAUUCUUCACUCUCAUAACAUGUGCUUAUCGAGAUUGGUGAUUACAAAUCCAGCAUUUCCAUCAUUUUUUUUAUUGACAACCUACAGAAAUUCUUUUAAUUCUGCAUUAAAUCUUACUUCNNNNNNNNNNNNNNNNNNNNNNNNNNNNNNNNNNNGGUGGUGACAACUUAGAAUUCAAUAAUUUAACAAGUUUUCAAGAUUUUAAUAUUAAAAUUUUGCUCAUUAAAACCCUCUCAUACUUAUAGUUCACAGACUCGCGUUCGAUAGUGGAAUAAAAAAUGAACGAACUUUAACCAUCGUUUAUAAUCUUCCGAUUUAGAAGUACACAAUUUUCCGUAAAAAUUUCAUACAUGAAGUUUUCAUCGGUGUACUUUUGAACUAACCCCAAACUUAAAAACUUGUCGAGAGUACUCUCCGAUCAUGUUGGUUCCGCUAUUACUCGCAAUCUCUCUUCUCCUCCCAUUUUUGGUAAUUUAUGUUUGUUAGUUUCCUUCAUCCAGACCGUCAAUUGGAUAUGGUCCUGUUUUUUAGUAAAAUAUAUGUAUGACUUGUCAUUUACCUGAUUGAUUCUAUUGGAUUAAAAUUUAUUUCUUUUAAAGUGUUUAUCAGUUAUGCUAUGUUUGUUGUUGAAUAUUAAUGAAUAUAGAUGAAGAUACCGAGCUUGUUCAUAUAUUUAAAAAUUUAUAUAACAAACAUUCGAAUCGAUAUUUAUAAAUAUUUAUUUUUCGGUUGUAAUAUUUUAUCUAGUUAUAUAGAUUCAGAGCAACGUAAGGAGAGAAAAAGUUACUAAAUUGAGUGAUAAGAUUAUAAUGAAACAAUGAUUGGUGAUGGAAAUAGGGCAUGAUAAAUGUUUUUUUCAUAUUUAUUAGAGGCAUAAAUUUGAAAAGAUAAAAUAAAGUAAAACAGUAAAUAUGGAAAGUAAAUAAUGUUGUUAGUUAACUCUCUUCAUGUGUGAGCUGGAUCCACUCUUUCAGGGCUGUCCCACCCGCCUUAUUUAUUUAUAAAAUAAUAAUAAAUAACCCCAGACCAAACACACAGAGAAAUUGAGCUUGAAGCUGAUACAUGCCACGUCAUACUUUAACAUUUUCUUCAUUCAAUAUAUAUAAUUAAUUAAUAAUUUAUUUUUCAUCAUCAAAUAAUCCAAAAUUCACUCUCUCAUUCAUUUCUCAUCUGGGGGACUUUUUUUCUUCGAACUCGGAGAGCUUUCUUCGCCUUUCCUUUCCUUUUUUCUCUCCUUCACUUUCCUUCCUUUGAUUCCCAACUUCCAAACUUCAAGCUAAUGUAAUUCUGCUUACUUCCCACUUUUUCUUAUCUCCAGUGUUGGUGGUGAGUUCUCCCUAGUUCUUCUUCUUCCCUGGUGGUGGUGGGGAUCACUGUUUUUUUGUUUCUUUCUUCUUUGCUGGUGGAAGGAGCUAUGAAUCCCCUCAAUGGAAAGGGAUCCCUCUCCGCUUCUGUUUCCAGAGUCAACUGGAAAUCUGGCGAACCUGUCACGGAUCAGUUCCCCGCCGGGCUCCGUGUUAUGGUCGUUGACGACGAUCCCACUUGCCUCAUGAUUUUGGAGAAGAUGCUCAGAACCUGUCUUUAUCAAGGUAGUUUAUCAGCUUCAUACCCAAAAGUAGAGUGAUGGGUUUUAAGAUCUAUUUGGAACUAGCUUUGUUUUGCGACCAAUUUUCGGAAUCUAAUUUGAAUUUUGUUUGACUUGUGAUAAUCUGCGAGAUUUCCUUGCUGCCGUAUUUCAAUUGGAUCGAUCUUAUUUAUCUUUUUCCCCUCUAAAAUAUCCAAUUUUUCAGUGAAGAAAUGCAGUAGAGCAGAGGAGGCCUUAUCAAUCUUGAGAGAGAACAGAAAUGGGUACGAUAUAGUGAUAAGUGAUGUACAUAUGCCAGACAUGGAUGGGUUCAAGCUGCUAGAGCUUGUUGGUCUGGAAAUGGAUCUGCCUGUUAUCAGUAAGUAUAUUAUCUGCAAUCUUUGUUUGUGAUUUAGGGUGUGACUGAUGAUGAUGAUGAUAAUGAUUGUGGAACAUUAUUGUGUGAAUAUCUUGAAGUGAUGUCUGCGGAUGAUUCAAAGAGUGUGGUAAUGAAGGGAGUCACUCAUGGUGCUUGUGACUAUCUGAUAAAGCCGGUUCGGAUCGAGGCUUUGAAGAACAUAUGGCAGCAUGUUGUUCGUAAGAAGAGGAGUGAGUGGAAGGAAGUGGAGCAAUCUGGGAGUGCUGAGGAAGGGGAUUCUAGGCAGCCUAAACAGUCCGAGGAUGCCGAUUAUUCUUCCUCCGUUAAUGAAAGUAACUGGAGAAAUUCCAAGAGACGGAAGGAUGACGAUGAGGAAGGAGAGGAUAGGGAUGACACCUCCUCGUUGAAGAAGCCUCGAGUGGUUUGGUCUGUUGAGCUGCAUCAACAGUUUGUCGCUGCUGUUAACCAGCUUGGCGUAGACAGUAUGUCUCUUCUUACUCAUUACCGGACCGAUCCCUUCAUUUUGUUAGCAACUUUUCUAAAUUAUCUAUCCGUUGAUUCUUAAUGUCGUAUGUGUUUGUUGGAUCUGGUCAUACAGAGGCCGUCCCGAAGAAGAUUCUUGAGUUGAUGAACGUACCUGGACUCACUAGAGAAAACGUUGCUAGCCACCUUCAGGUAUGCUCGAAAUGAACUAUCUACAAUAUGAAUUCUUGUUCAUACAGUCUAUUUUUCCCCGGUUGAUGCAUCAGUGCUUGAGAAAGUUUGAAGUUUUUCUAAUUUGAUGCCCCUGUUUUGUGAGGUACAGAAAUAUCGAUUGUAUCUGAGAAGGUUAAGUGGUGUUUCUCAGCAUCAAAACAAUUUGGGGAACUCGUUUAUGUCCCAAGACCCAGGUUAUGGACCAUUGUCCACACUUAAUGGACUAGACCUUCAAACGCUUGCUGCCACUGGCCAGCUCCCAGCUCAAAGUCUUGCAACCCUUCAAGCUGCAGGAUUAGGUCGAGCGGGUUCAAAGUCCAGGAUCCCAAUCCCGGUAGUUGAUCAGAGGAACCUGUUCAGCUUUGAGAACCCGAAAUUGGCUUAUGGAGAUAGCCAACAGCAACAGCAACAUCAUUUGAGUGGUGGUAAGCAGAUGAACUUGCUUCAUGGAAUUCCAACAAAUAUGGAGCCAAAGCAGCUUGUGAAUUUGCACCAUUCGGGAUCGUCUCAUGGAAGCAUGAACGUGCAAGUUAAUUCUCAGAGUGGGUCUCUGCUGAUGCAAAUGUCUCAACCACAGUCUAGAGCACAGAUGCUAAAUGAUCCCUCUGUAGCCAACCAAGUUCCCAGGAUUCCUUCGACUGUAGGUCAGCCGAUUAUGUCAAAUACCCUUGCUGGCGGUAUCAUGUCGAGAAAUGGUAUGGACGAAAGCAACAGACCGAUGGGAUAUAAUAAUCCAGCUUCACAGUCUUCAUCAAUCAUGAACUUCCCCUUGCACAGCUCAGCGGAACUGCGAAGUAAUAAUAGCUACCCUCUUCAGAAUAAUCCAGUAGUAGCCAACCUCACGUCAAAAGGUGCUUUUCAAGAAGACGUGGCCUCAGAAAUGAAAGGAGCGCCAGGAUUCAUGCCUAGCUAUGACAUUUUUGGUGACUUGAACCAGCAGAAGGCCCAUAAUUGGGAGCUGCAGAAUGUUGGCUUGACCUUUAAUGCCUCGCAACAAGGCAAUAUUGAGGUGGGCUCUUCGGGUGUAUCUCUUCAAGGUUUUUCCUCUAGUCAAGGAAGUGGCCAAACCAGGAAUUCAGCAGCUAUCGUAAGCAGGCCGCCUAUGUUCUCUGCUGCUGGCGUGGAACAUGUGAACAACACAAUAAGUGUCGGCCAGCAUAUGAAUAACCUCUAUUCCGAGAAUAAUCCGGUUAGUGUUAAAGUUGAAAGGAUUGAUACAGGCAAUCAGACUACACUCUUUCACGAGCAGUUUGGUCAAGAUGAUCUCAUGACUGCAUUACUCAAGCAAGUAUGUAGCUUUUCUCCUUGAUUUGACUCUUUCUGAUUCAAUGUCCUGCUCUUGAACUUUGGUUUGACCAUAUUCUCACUUUUUUUGUAGCAGCAGGGAGGCAUUGGACCAGCAGAGAAUGAGUUUGACUUAGACGGGUAUACCUUCGACAAUAUUCAUGUAUAGGAAUGUCGAUCAAGCUCCCAAUUCGGCCUUUCGUUGGUCAAUGCAGUUGCUGAUGUACAUACCUGUAGUUGCCUGAUCUCUUCAAGUGACAGCAUAGUGAUUCAAAGGUAGAAGGAAUUGUUCAGGAGGAAGAAAAUUUGGUUGCUUUUUCAGGUAGCUGCAUUUCAUCUGUCAAUAUCGAGAGUUCUGCCGGGUAUAAAGGUGUGGGGCAUAAAAGAACCAGAAUGGGGAAGUUGAUAUUACUACGAGGCAUGAUAUGAGAAGGCAUACCAUGCAAAUUUUUGGAAGGAAAGUCUGUCUAGUAUUGAAGCAGCAAAGAAACUAAUUAUUAGAAGGGAGCAAAUUGUGGUUAUCUUGGGCUAGAUGAUGUGCUUCAGUAGAAGUUUGCAGAAGAAAAGUAGCUAGCUAUGCAAACCUGUUUUCUAACUCUAAUAACUCAGUUUGUGAUCAUUUGAGUUUGAGUUUGCUCUCUUGCUGUUUUUCCAGAUUUGUUGUUUCAGGAACUGACCUUGAUUGUACAUAUUCCCCCAUUUGUUUGCUCUUUAGACAUAAGCCCUUCCUGGGUAUAUUUUUCUCCAGGAUGUUUUCCUCUUGUAUUUGAAUGAAUAUUCCACCAACUCUCUUUUUAUUUUUAUCUCAUGUAAUCAUCAUACCCCUAUCUGUUUUUAGUCUUCUAGGAUUGGUUUGGCAAUUAAGUAGAAGGAAACUGAGUUGAGGUUGGUAUGCAUUUUCCGUUUCCUUAUCAUCUAAACAAAACAUGUAGAAUGUUUAGUUUUUCAUCAGGAUCAAACAAUAGAAUAGAAUUCUCGUAGGAUAUUCCGCCUCCCAAACGGAGCCUAAAAUUGAAACCAUGGAAUUGGGGAGCAAAAUAUAUUAGAGAUGAAGCCAAUAAAGCAAGCAAGGAGACAGAUAUAAUAAUACAAUGCUGAUCAGUUCAAGAUUGAUCUUUGUAAGAGAAUAUGACUUGGAAGGAAAACUACAAAGAAAUAGAGAGUCAUAGUAGUAGCAGAAGUAGUACUAAAGAACCAAUCUUGAAAUCCUGUUAGGGAGAACCAAUCUACAGGAACAGGUUUUACAUUUUACGCUUCAGUUCUUGAGUAUGCCUGUCACAGUGCAGCAGCUUCCAACUAGGGCUCCUUGUUGUCCCCAACAAACCCAUCAUCAGACUUGGAAUAGUAUUUACCAAUCUCUCGACUUCAAUCCUGCUCAAGUGCACCGAUCAUUGAACAUAAACCAAAAGAAUGAAAAAAUCUUCAUAUCACCCAACAGCUACCAUAGAUCCUGCCUCAGUAGGGAUGCUGCCACCAAUGUUCCUAGUAUUAGAGACAGAAUCGUCACAGGAGCCCUUCGGUUAACGCUGCUCGUUGGGUACAUUGUAGGAAGAGAACAUUCUUCCCCAUUGAAGAACACUUUAGUAGGGAAACCAUCUCCGAGUGGCACAUUAAUUCCAGGUGUGGUUCUCUUGGUAAAUGAGACCACAGACUGCUGUUUUCCGGGGACUCUCGGAUCCUUGCUUGGGUUGAGACCAUCAGUCUCCCCGACUAGGUAGUUCAGUCCCGGAAGACCCUGCAUGAAUAUGGUGUUAUUGGAAUUUGGCAGCAUGGUUCCGUUAAACGAAUACAUGGCUUCGAACCCUCCGGCUGCUUUGUCCAUUUCGACGGCGACAAACCAAUCAGGGAAAGGAAUCUCCGCCCAGUUGAAGAGCGUGAUCCUAGAACUCCAUCCUCGACUGAAAUCAGUAUUCACAUGCCAAUUGAUGCUCACCCCGCAGUUAUCAGCACAUGGCAUCGGGUUGGGGAGUGCUCGACGCUUGAUGUUGGCCCAAGCAGAGGUCAUGGCGGAACGAUUCUCGAAAGGAACCAGGAGAGCAUUGGGCGGAAGAAGAACCGCCGGAGUAUUUGCACUGCAAGUCUGAGAAGCUGCUCUAUUAGGGCACCCACAAGCACAGGUAUUGCACGGGACAACCGAGUCGUUGUAGAAUGCGGAGAAUGAAACGCAGCAACGAGGGGUCGAUCCAGGGCUUGAUCCCUUCUGUUUCGUGAUGUUACACACCACCUGCCAAGUAGCAACUGCAGUAGAAUUCGACGGUAAACCACUUGGGUCCAGGAACUCACUUGCGCUCACCCUAACAGGAGGUCCACAUUGAUAAUCAGGGUUCAAUGUGCCAUUGAUCUUCCAGUUCUGUGGGGGCGAAAGCUCCGAGCGGUUCAGAUUAGGAGGCAUUUUGAACACCUGCAUCUGGAAAGAAGAGGCCGACUUGCUUGGAUCCAUAGAUGGUGGCAAGAUUGUGCCAUUGCGGCAACAGAAAGGGACCAUUCCAAGGGUCGUGUCAUUGAACUUUGUUGGUGGCAGAUCAAUAAUCGUAGGUCUCCUUUCACAGUUCAGCACGGUGGAGAAGUCCAGUUGCUUGUAGUAUUCACCCUGUGGACCAAAUAUGCAGGGAGACGAAUCUACAAUCGAAGGAUACGCACCCUUCAUUGAGUUGAUAAAUUCGUCCUGCAUCCAGUCCCAGCUGAGUUUCCAGUUAUCAAGACGGCCCAAGUGAUUGUGGUUGGUGAUGGUAACUUGGGCCCAGUAACUGGAAUCAUAAGCUCGGAUCACAUCGUAAGCUAUUGUCAAAUCGCCACUCUGGCGAGGCAAGAAAUCUCCAUCAAGUAAUGUGAUGUUCGAUUUCGCUUUCUCAUCUUUCACACAGCAAGUCGACAUAGCACCCCCUGCCAAAUCCAAAAAGAAAUCUUUCUAGUUACAACACAAUUUCAUAUUGCUACAAUUCAAGUCCUAAAUCAUAUGUCAAUCGGGCAAAACAAAAGCUGCAAUUCAAGUCAACGAUAAUUCACUAGCCAAUUUCAAUCCCAAGUCUAAUUCAAUGAUCGUCCAAUUAACCCGAAAUCAUCGCCGAAAAUGAGAUCUAAUCCCACACAGAAAAAGAAAACCCUAACGAUUGGAAUUCUGAUUACCUAGAGUGGUGGGAGCAGGGCAAGACCAUCCAUCAUUCACCAGAGUAAUAUUAUUAGGCCAAGGAAUCGCCGGCGGCUUGACACCGAACUGAGUCCCCAAAAGCUUAACCUCGACGGAAGUCUGAGUCGAGUCGCCAGCGGUCUCAAUCGCGGUCUUCAAGUCAGUCAUAGGGAAACCAGCGAAAACGGUGCCGUUCCCGACUAAAGCAGGGUAGCUGGAGCCAUCAGCUAGAAUCGCAUUGCUGCCAGAGACGAGGAUCUCGUCGUGCUUAAACCCUACAAAGGCCUGCCAGGACUUGAGCUUCUCGAUCCCGUUGUUCUGAACAGUGAGGGUGGACUCGAAUCGGUAAGGCUGGUGUUUCGGAUCAGUAGGUCUGAUCUUGGAUCCGGACCCGUAGCGGUAAGACAAGAAGAUCCCGUUGCAGUUGUCCGCCGCGGGUGCCGGAGCGGCGUCAUCCCCCGCCCCCGCCGGAGCAGGAGGCGUCGUCUGGGAAAUUGUGCGAAACGGUAGGAAGAAGAGGAAGACGGCGAGAGCUAGAGAGAAGGAGAUAGCUGACGGCGGCAUGGUUGUGGGGAUUGUGGGGUUUCCCGGCGGAGAUCGAUGGAGGAAGAGAGAGAGAGAGGAGACGUGGAGAAGAUGGAAGCUGGGUUUUAGUUUUUGUAGCAGAGAGGAAGAGAGUGGGAAACGCGUCCGGGAGUGGGUAUAUUUGUUCAGCUUAGUAAAAGCUGUUAUUUUAUUUAUUAUGCGGAGAAGAUUAUAGUGUUUGCUCUUUGGUUCUGAUUUAAGGAGGGUAUUUUCUUCCAUUCCAAACCAACAAAAUCCAAAUUUUGUUGCAAUUUACAAAAUACUUCCCAUUAAGGUUUUCAGAAAUUCUACUAGUUCUCUCUUUAUACCAAUAAUUGAAUUUUGACACCCGUAAACGAAAACAUCGAGAUAAAUUUGUUUUAAACUUUUGUGUUUUCUUUUCUAGAUUGUUCGUCAGUCAGAUUAAGACGUUCAUCAGUGACAUGAAAAACUUUAUCAUGCUCACGUCCUGUAGGAAAUUUGUCCGCGACAGUCGUCUCCCUAAUUACAUAACCUAUUUACUAAGUAAAAAAGAACAUGUAUGUAUAAACAUUGAUUAAAAACGGAAUUUUAUGACAUAAUCAAAGUAGUAAUUCAAGAACACAUGGAAUUGUAAUUUCACUUUCAACUUAAGUCAACUUGGGUGGUCAAAGAUAAAUUUGUUUUUUAAAAAAGCAUACAAUUGUUUCUCUGAGAAUAUUUUCAAGAGAUGGAACCAAAUUGUUGGAUAUUUGGAAAUAUGUGGGGUUAAUUUAAUUAGAAACUGGGGGAGAAAAUCAGGAGGAGAGAGAUAGGAAAGCGAAGUGAGAGAGAAAGUUCCGUUGAGUUUGAACAAUACUAACUUUACCCCACUCUUUCUUUCCCAUUUUUUUUAAAUUAAGGAUUACUAAUCUUAAAUUGACGAUAAUAUCUAAAUUUUUUUAUUGAAAAAAAAAUUUAGGGUACAUUUUUUGAAAGGAUUUAAUAAAUUUUGUCGGUACGAUCGAAAUUCUGGCGGCCGAAGAGGCCCAACUGGCCGGCUGUUUCGGCCGACACAAACUGCUUUAAUUUUUUUCCAGAUAAUCAUAUUCGUCACAUUUUAAAAUUUUUUUAAUAAUCUCUUUUAAUUUUAUUUAUUUGGUUCAAACAUUUAACAAGUGGCCGACCGAAUCAUAGUGUUGGCCGAAACAGGUGUUUGGCCAGCCUUUUUCAAUUUUUUCGAGGUUAAUAGUUUGCUCAAUCUAAAACUUUAUUUAAUUUAAAAAUUAGAACGUCGUUUAGAGAUUCAGUUUAACCCAGUCGUGGGUGGUGGGUGGGGCAGCACGAGUUUGAAUUGAAUUGUUAUGCUACGAUGGACGAUUAGGAUUCUAAUUAUUACUUAAUCAAUUUUUAUCUAAAACCUUUUUCAACUCUUUGUACAAAGUAUAUACGAAAUCGUUUCGUGAUUUUUUGUAGGCGGUGUGUCUUGAACAAUUAUUUUGUAACUGUAUGAAUCUUUNNNNNNNNNNNNNNNNNNNNNNNNNNNNNNNNNNNNNNNNNNNNNNNNNNNNNNNNNNNNNCUUUUAAUAUAUAAUUAAUUUUUUUAUAUGUCGAAAAGCACCUUUUUGGACCAAAUCUUGGUUGCGCCUCUGGGUGAGGUGGCAACCAAUAAGCAAUUGCUAUAAAUAAAUGAGUGCUUGUUAAAUUAUAAAAAUUGCUAAAUUAACAAGUGAAUUAGCAAUGUGACAUAUACAAAAUGGCUCACUUUUUAAAAAAAUAUUUAUGAAUAAAAAUAAACAAUAAACUCUCACAAGCCCACGUACACACAUGAAGACAAUGUAUAAUGUGUAAACUCUCGCACAAUAGUUAGAAAAUUAAAAUCAACUAUCUACCUGUUUAGCUGAAGAGAGUCAAGUAAUUAUAAUCAACUUGAAAGAUUUAAUGAAUAGAAGAUUGUUCUUUAUAUGGUUUAAGUAAUUGUUUUUCCAACCCUUGAACUAUCCUUAGAUGAAGAUCAUCAAGCUUAAGUGUUCAUGUUUGGGCGUACAAGAGAGCUCAAUAUCAAAUGUGUGAGGCUGGCCGUAAUUAUCAUCGAAAAGUCAGGUUGUCAACUCAUGAACACAUAUUCUUGCACAUCGCACAUUGAUCCUUGUACAAAAAUUGCAUGGUCUCAUAAACUAAUUUCUAUGUAUUUGGGGGGAAAUUGGAAUAAUAAAAGAAAGGCUAGAUAUGUAAUAUAGGUUGUUGGAAUGAAAAGAUGGCGUAUAGUGAGAUACCAGAGGUUUCUGCAGUAUCAUAUACAUGCGAAGAAGCUUAUUAUAAGCAUCCAGUAAGUUUGAAAGCGAAUCUGAAAUUUCCAGUUCUGACUUGAUACUCCUUCAGUCCUUUCUUUGUCUUCUACUGCAUGUCUUUCGAUUUAGGAUUCAUUUCAAUUUCUUUUGAGGCUUAAAAAUGUUGCAGGCUUAUAAUAUUAUAAUAGUUUGUGGUGGCUGAUGUUAUUAUCUAAGUUGGUCGCUACCGCAGCAGCAUCAGCUUCGACGAACAGAUUUUGCACUAAUGAUUAAUUAAAAAAAGGGAUCCGAUGACCGGGGGAUUGAACCCGACGUGAAUCGAACACGCAACCUUCUGAUCUGGAGUCAGACGCGCUACCAUUGCGCCACGGAUCCGGUCGGUGUUAGCCUACUUAUUCGCUUAUAUUUAACUGGUUUAACACAAGACUUUUGAUGCUCCAUGCAUUUUUCUGUAUAUAAAUUAUAAAGAGGCCUCUCAGUUUGGGCCAUAAAUGGGUUAGCAGACUUACUUUUCCAGGCCUUUUGACGUGGGCCUUGGAGGAUUAGGGACGUUACACAUCAAUCAGCACUUGGGCAGUAACUCGAUCAAUGCUGCAUGUCCAAGAUCUCUUGAGGAUUCUCAUAAGCAACCACCCAUACUGCACUGGUUUAUUGUAUUGCCUCAACCAUGUGUAAGUACUACCACUCGAUCCCAAUAUUAAUGUUGUAUUGUUCUACAAUUAUAGUACCAAACCCUAGCUAUUGAGUAAGUGGUGUUUGGGUGUGUACGUAUAUCUAGCGCGAGAUAAUUGAAUUCUUUAUUAUUAGUGGAAUUAAUAAAUAAAGAGAACAAUUUAUUUAUUAAGAAAAGUCGAAAAUUUCAAAUUGAGAAAAGUCGAAAAAACUUUAGUUUUGGUCAAAAAUCAACUAAACAACCUCAUGGAUCCUAAGAACCUUGAGAGUAACCACGGUUGUCGUUCUCAUUCACAACAAUUCUAUCGGCAAUCUCCGCCACCAAGUUUGCGUUGAUGAACUGCGAGGAAUUAUCAAUCGUAUUUGGAAUGUCAGUGUAACACAUACUUAUUGAGAAGGGAAUAGAAUUGUAGAUGGCCUUGCUCACUAUGGCCGCUGCUUAUCUCUUGAGAUGCAUCGUAUUCUUUCUCUUCCUUUUGAAAUUGUUGAUUAUAUUAAAACUAAUAUGAUUGGGAUUCCGUUUCUUCGAUCCUUUUCUCAUAUAUUUUGAUGCAGUUUGAUUGUAUGUAUUAAUUUGUGAUUCAUUUUGAAUACUAAUAUAAAUAAAUGGAUCACUUUCCAAGUAAGAAAAAGAAAGGAAGCAUUAUUGCAGAGGCUCAGCUGGAUCCACUUUGUGUUUUUCGCAGCUAAACACAAAAAGCAACCCCCGACCUGCAAAUCCAAAGGCAUGCAUGUGCGGAUGAUCAUGGCCACAAUGAACAAACUUGGUGAGUGUGGCCCUGUUAUUAUAAACUGCUGGGAAAUAAGCUAAAUUAAAAUAGCUUGAUAUAAGUAAUCUUAUAGGUUAAAGAAAUUUGGUAAAAUAUUAUGUACAAACGGUUCUCUGCUUCCUUGGCCACCUGCGGAAUUCCAUGAAGAAUAUUCAAGCCAGGGGUGCUAACAGCAGAACAAGGGGCAACAGUGCAAAACGUACACCCCACAAAUAGUAAAAAAAAAAGGCUUAGAAAGACUACAGCGUAACUAGUUGUGUGGGUGGUAGUAACAAAAACGAAAAGAGAAUCCUCCACCGCCCAGCCUGGAAAAGGGCCUUCAUAUACUUACCCUCUGAAUUCACGGUAUAGAUGAAUGGGUGUGAAUUCACAGUAUUGUCUGUCUGGUUUGGAGAAAUUCCUGGAUGGAAAUGUGGGGUUUAGAUGAUCACAAUGCAAUGCAUCCUCCCUUAUUAAACGUCACUCCUGACUCUCUUUCAGUUACAGAACAUGUGGGUUUCCAAAAUUAACAUUCACCGGCCAGUUCCCAAGUACUAGCAGUUAAAGAAAUGAUGUACGUAGUACCUGCGGAACCGAAGUUGCAGAUGAACUGAUGAUGAAGAAGUGACAAUCAUUGAGCUAGCUCUCUCUGCGUCGACUGGCCAUGGUGGUGGGUAGACGAAACAUCAAAUCUUUCGGAUAUUAUGCUUACAGAAUCAGAGAGAGUAACAAGAAUAAGAAGAAUAAGAAGAAGAAGAAGAAGACAAACAAAAGCUGCUGACAUUAACAACAGCCUCAUCACCAUCCACGUGUACAACUGUUCCACCUCGUCAAACUCCAUCCCCCGCCCCAUGACCUCACUUUCUUUCUUUCUUCUUUCCCCCAUUUUUCAAUUACUUUAAUCAUUGCUUUGGAUCAACCAUUCACACCGAUACCCAAUAUAAAAACCGAGCCGAGCUGAGUUACAUACAAUUCGGUCUGUGAAUCGUGUUCAACUAUCCAACCAGCGGAGCUCGAAUGUCAACUCAAAUUCUAACUAGUUUAGCUUUUGAGUAGGUUCACAAGCCGGCUCGAGAUCGAACGUUGAAUAUAAAAAACCGAAGGCGGUAACAAGUAAAUUGCAACGUGGUGAGGAAAUAAAUAACAAGUAUAACCUUUCACUAGCAUACAAAGUACAAUCUCAUCCUUCCUCUUCCUUUAUUUUACACCUAACAAGCAACACCUCCCUCAUCUGUCCACUCAUUUCUCUCUUCUUUCUCUCCCAAUUUCAUCAAACUUCAAACCUUGCUUCUCUCCCAUGGCCACCGGAAUGGCCAUAACCAUCUUCUCCGUUCUCGCAUUCCUCCUAUCAACCUCCUCCUCCGCCGACGCACUGCCAAAUUCCAGGACAUUGUACGAAAUCGCCUGCGAAAUGUGCACAACCUGCUGCGGAUCCACUCCAACCCCGUCCCUCCCACCUCCCUCUCCGCCGCCGCCGUCCCCACCUCCACCGUCCACCACUCCUUACUGCCCGCCUCCUCCUUCCCCGCCGUCCUCCGGAUCCGGCGGGUACUACAGCUCCCCGCCGCCGCCUUCUUCCAGCUCAGGAUACUACCCUCCGCCAGCCAAGGGCAGCGGAGGCAGCGGCGACGGCAUCGGAGGGACGUACAACUACCCGCCGCCAACGUACCAGAACUACCCAGGUCCGCCUCCGCCGAACCCGAUUGUGCCUUACUUCCCUUUUUACUUCCACAGUCCUCCGCCCCCUGGCUCCUCUGCCUCUACCCUGAAGAUUGGAUCCCGAUUCGGAAUCCACCACUGGUGUAGCUCAGUCGUUGCUACGGUAGCUAUUCUGCUCUGCUUUCCUUGAUUGCGACAUCAAGAAAAUGAAAUUAAGAGAAAAACAAGAGGAAGUUGCAGCGGAUUGGUAGAUCUGUGGGGAGCUCAAAGAAAACAGAGACUUUCGAGGAGUGGAAACUCCAGCUUCUGAUCUGGUAAUCUGUUGAACCGACGGAAAAGAUGUUGUACCAUUAGAAAACAAAAAAGAAUUCUUACUUUCUAUUUUAUUUUAUAGCUCUCUCUGCUUUUGGUUUCUGCAAAUUUGUAUGUAUGAAUGAAGAACAUCAUGAAUUCAGAUGAACUCCACCCAGUAAUUACUAAUUAGGCCCUAAUUUUGACAAUAAAAUGUGGCAGCUUAUUUCCAGUUUAUGCAUUACAUUAACGAGGGAUUUGUGAAAAAUAGACAGAGUGUCGGUGGGUUGGCUACUUGGCUGGAUUAAAUUGGCAUGCUUGGUAAUAAAUAAGAGGGAAAUAUUGGAUCAUCUAUCGAUUUAUUAUUUUCAUAUUUAGAAUCAGAGGUCACUGCAUAGCUGUUACAGCUAGAUGACCGCCGACUGCCGGAUCUCUCUGACAGAACGGGGAAAGUAAAGCGUGUUCAGUCAAUCUUAGUCGCCGGCCGCCGAGUUCAGAGACGUGUCGCCGGUGAUUUGCUUUGUUGUUGUUGUUGUUGUUGUUGCACAUGGGGGGCGAGGGUGACUAAGAAAAAUGGAAAGUAAAAGUGAAACUAGUACGGGUGUGUGCACUUCCCAUUUUCUACGCGGGUGUUGUCGUCUUAUUAAUUCAUG